rnacentral:lncRNA from 1 species
GGAAUCCAAUAAAUAACUUGAAUGUAAAUAAAAGUAAUUAAAGAACUCAGGAAUUAUGAAUUGAAGAACCUGGAGAACGAUGAAGAACGAACCAGAUGCUGCAAAAGUAUAAUGUUGAGGAAGAUCCGACAGAUCCGGCUCCUCCGCUCUCCUCUUCUCUCUCCCUAUUUUCUAGAUUACAACUAGAACUAACUAGAACUAGAACUAGAGGAACUAGAACUAGGCCUAGAUGAACUAGAACUAGAUCUAGAUGAACUAGAGGUAGAACUAGAAGAACUAGAGGGAUCCUCUCUACUUGGAUGAAGAAUUGAAACCCUAGCUUUGAUUCUGUAGAAGAGGUAUGAUCUCCAGGGGCCAGGGGGUCUGGUUUUAUAGUCCCUUCAAGUGAAUAUGGGCCGUUGGAUCAAACCGACAUUGAUUAAACGGUUAUCCUUGAUCCUUUAGGUCGGUGGAGCAUGAUCCCCGAGUUGUACCCUGAUUGGGCAGAAUAGGUGGGCGGGCGCCCUCAGGACUUGGGCGGGCGCCCUGUCCCUGAGCCCUAUCAGCCUCCACUUCGGUCCCGUGGCUUCUGGAGUCUUGUAGAUGAUAGAAAAUUGCGCGGCACGUUAAUAUCUCUAUGUAAACCCGACGUGUGGGCCGUUCUUCCGUAUUUCCUGAUAACCCCCUACAGAAAUAGACAAACACCAAAACUCGUGGAAUUCUGUCAGAUAAAACCCUAAGUCUAGGUGUUAGUUGCAUUUGGAUCCUUUUCCAUGAUUAGUUGAUGGUUAAAUAUGAGCAUUAAGGACCGUCAACAAGCUCCCCCGAGCUUAACCUUUGCUCGUCCCUGAGCAAAGAUGAACUUAAGAGUUUCUGUAGUGGUUUCAUGCCUUAAAGAUAUACAUGCGUUCAAACAAGAUCUCAUCUCUGGGUUAGGGUAAUCUGUUAAGAUUUAAACUUACACAUAUUACCUUUCACCAUGGGGCUUGCAACCAUCACUUGUGUCUUGAGUAGUUAAAAGAUAGAACGGUCUAGUCAAGCGCCAUAUCUCUUGUUCUUCGAUUAACUAUAGCUCUGGAGUUUUUGUAGAUUUUCAAAUAAAACUCAGAGAUUCCUUGUAUGACUCUCUCUAGUCUCUCUUUUGUGGUAUUUCUGGAGCCUUACCAAGGCCGUAAAGGUGUAUGCCUUCUCUCAAAGUAUGUGGUAUUUUUGGUAUGAGGCAUAGUGACAUUGCCUUCUCUCUCACCCUACUCUAAUAAGGUUUUGAUAUCAGGAGCUCAUAGGUGGGAGACAGCUAAUACAUACUUACAAGACAUUUAUUGCAUAGUCAAACCAUGGAUCCAGAAGAACAAGUCCAUAAGUCAAAUCAAGAUGUGCAUGUGUGGCGAAUGAAUGGUGUAUGGUGAUGAUGGUGAUAACAAUGGUGAAAGUCUAAUUCUACUUGUGCUCUUUUGAGGGGAUACAUACCUUUCUUGCUCUUUUGAAACUUUUUGAGGAGAAUGAGAUGCUCUAUAUUUUCUUUUUAUUUUCUCUCAGGUGGGUAUCUUGUACCCCUAAUUCUACUAUCGGACAAUUGUCCAUUUUUACCUCUCGUCUCACUUUUUCUUUUCUUUCGAGGUUCCGGGCACUUGCCCCUUUUUAUUUCCUCGUAUUCUUUCUUCUUUUUUUUCUUUCUCUUUUUUUAGAGCACUCAUCUCCUGAAAUAAUAUAGCAAGUGGUAGUAACAAGAUAACUUGAGCAUUUAUUUCACAGGGGAAAACAGAAAUAUUUUUGGCUAUUCUCUCCCGGAUUAGGAGUAGAGUAUUUUUGGGUGGUUCUGGAGAUGGAAAUGGAUGGAUAUAUGUGGAUGCGUACUUCCGAAGUAUAGCAUGUAUGAGUGAACGUGCAAGUGAAUCUUGAUUUAACUGCAUGAGAAGCUCCUAAGGGUCUACACAGCUUGACCACACUCAAUGCUCGUAAGUAGUAAAAAGUAAAUGUGUGGCUCAUAGUCUAGCAAGCAUGUAUAUAUGGCCGUGGUAGGAAUUUAAACUCUCAUCAUAGAGGAACUCAUCAUGCAACAUUUUAAAGAUUUUCAAAGAUAAAAUUCUCCAGAAUUCUAGCAUCUCUAGGAACAAAUAAACAACAGCUCAACCUUCCCAUAUCAUACCCAUUAACGACUUAGACUUUAGAUCAAGUACUCUUCCCACAAGUUCAGGUUUAGAGCAAAUCUUAAUUAAUAACAGUCAUGUCUAAACUUAAGAGAGAUUUCAAUUUAGAGAACUAGUCAUGGUAGAGCAACUAUACAUCAUUUCCAUUUGAGAGCUUACCAUGAGGGUUUAUAGCAAAUUUUAUUUAUUUAUUUAUUUAGCAAACUAAGCAAAGAUAUAUAUAUAAGCACAAAAUCUUUAUUUGGGUUUAUAUGAUUAUGCAUCUUUUUAUUAUUAGAGUAAAGUAUAAACGUGAGUAGAACACUUAGCUGGAUAAAUGGGGGUGCUCUCCCCCAAGCUGGAUUUUGACAUGUAGCUAGUAGGUGGUGGAGGUGUAUUUGAAUGUCAGCAGCACCCUGACAGUGAUUAGGAUGUCCUCCGUCUGCUAGUCUUCGUUGAUCCUUGAAUUCUGUGGAGCCCAAAUAGACAACAAAGCUUUGUGGAACUAGUUAAGUGUUAGCAUAAAUAUCUAGCCUUUAUCAUGUUGAGCCUCUUCAAUAAAUGUUAUUUUCUUUGGUAGGAUCAGAAAUUUAUUUUUAUAUUUUUGUUUUUAUAGCACAUAAAUAUAUUUAUUUUAUUUUUAUGCCACCACAGUGAAUGUACUUAUGGGUUUUAUGCCAUGAGCAUACUCAUAUGGGGCUUACUAUUUUUAACAUUUUUAUUUUCUUUUCAAGAUGAUAUGAACCUAAUUAACUAAGCAAACUAUUUUAAAAUAAUUGAAAGGAAAAGAUAACUACCAAGUUUACCUCUUAGCAAGGCAUUCGGUGUUUUUAAGUCCUCCGAAUGGGACUCUCUGUUUUCUUAGUCGUCCUAGGAUUCGCUGGAUGGCGUAGUCGGUGGUUCCGGCGGCGCCUCCUCUUCAUGUAUAACUAUCUUCUCUCUCCACAACUGACUCGGUGCUACGGUCUCCUCAGGACAAUUCUGAUCAAGCUGUAUGUCUUCAAACCUUACUACUUCUCCUUCGUAGUCUGCUCAUCCGUCCUUGAUGAUUUGCCUGCUCUGGUUGCGGUUGCGUCGUCUUCUUCUUGUCUUGACUUGCUUAGAGUCUUCAACUAUAUAGUUAGGGUCAGUAAAAUAGCGGCAUACCUUCUCAGAGGGGAAGUUCAUGUGGACUUCUCCGGUUCCAAUGUAGAUGAUUGCUUUAACGGUGCUGAGGAACGGUCUUCCAAGGAUGACCGGUGGAUUGUACUCGUCUUCUCCCAUGUCAAUAACCUUCAGCCUUUCGGAAUGUUUGAUCUACCAUCUGGAGCUGAAUGUAUGUUGGUUUUAGGGGCAUGGUUCCGAACAUGAGCUGAUAGGUGACUGGGUCGUCCUUUUUGGUCAGGAACAGUCACUUAAGUCGACGAUCUUGACCUACUUGAACUGCAGUGACCAUCUUAGCUGACUCGGUCCACAUUUGCUUGUUCCUGUUCCUCCUGUUGGUCCUCUUCCUUGGUUCAUGUCGGGAAUGCUCUGAGAUUUGUGUAAUCUUGUUCUCGAAGGAAAACGUCUCCUUCCUCCCCUUGAUGUAGAAACUGAUCUUGGCAGCACUAGCGUAGAUGACAGCUCCCGAGGUGUUCAGGAAUGGCCUCCGUAUGAUGAUGGGUGCCUUCUCAUCAGUACCAGUUUCUAUCACCAUGAAGUCUGCUCGGGCGUACAAGGUACCAACUCGAACGCAGAGGUUCUUCACUAUUCCCUUUGGGAAACUUAGCGUACGAUCUGCAAGCCUGGGCAUAAUGUUGACGCUGGAGCCAAAGUCACAGAGUCCUUCUAGGAACUCCACCAUGCCGAUGGAGAUCGGGAUGAUUGGGCGUCCUGGAUUGUCUCUCUUGACCGGCAGAAGGUCAGUAAUUACUUCCACAAUGGGGUUACUCCAGUAGUUACGUCCUCAAGCAUCUCAGGGCAGUGAUUGCCUGAGUGUCUAGUAUCUCCAGUGUGUUUGUGCUCGUAGAUCUAGGUUCUUCACUUGGUGGAGUCUGGGAGUUGUAAAACUUCUUCAUAUUUUGCUCGAAGUGUACCUGCUCAUAGAGACAAGGCAGAGAUCAAGUGCAUGGGCCCUGUUGGUGGAAAACACCAACAGAACCAAAAGUGUAUUUGUUCUUCUCUAACCUUAAGCAUAGUGAGCAAGACAAAGUUGAUGGAUAAUAAGAUCAUGAGUGUAGCAUUUAAAACAUUUGUCAGAUCAGAUCGCUCAACCUAAUGGAAAGAUAAUCUAUCUAUAUUUAUGUUUUGUUUAUAUCUUCUAGAGAUUGAAGGUGCAACAUUUUAGCUAAUAUGAUUAGGAGUGUGGGAUCACAAAGGUGAAAGGACUAGACAUAUUGAAUCGAUUGGGUUGGUUAAUCUAGAGUUGUAAAUCAUACAUGUUUGUCUCUUUUAUUCAUGUGAACGCCAGAACCAAGGAGAAGCUUUAUAAGAGUGAUAGUCAAGUACCUUAAGAUGUUACCUUACUUGAAGAGUGAUGGUACAGUAUCACCUUGUGGAAGCUUUCCUUUCUUAGUGGUUGUGCAUCGUGUUUAUGGCACCCUCCAUGGAUCAUCUCUUGUGAGCUAUGUCUUCCUUGUGUAAAUUGUUAAACUUCAUGUGCCUCUCUCUUUGUCUCCAAUGUAAGUUUAUCUCAGGACUUCCCAGGUCGAUAUUGAAAGUUUUCCUACAGGGGUUAGUCCAACAAAAUAUCCAAUAUCUACUAUAGCAUACUAUCGGCUCAAAGAUCAACCUAGACACCAUGUCUAAUUUGAUUUAGGAUGGAAUUUUAACCUAAGCAUCAUGCUUAAUUUAAAAUCCUUUGGAAGUAAGAUCAUCAUUCCUAAACUAAGCAUCAUGCUUAAUUAAGAGAUAAAUGAAACUACUCCAAACCUAGACAUAUACUAAAGCAAAUAAAGGUAGCAUGAGAGCAUUUAUAGAGAUCUACUCAAGUGGAGAUGAAGUAGUGUGAUUAGUAUUUAACAAAUUGAGCAUGUCUCAAAGGUAGGGACAACCAACAUAGCAACAUGGCAAAGGAUGUUUUUAUGUAAAGUAUUCCCCCAAGCUUGAAUUUUGCAAAAUUAAAGUUUGGAUGAAUUUAAUUCAAUGUUGUAUGAUGAUUGGCUAGACAUACCUUGUGCUUGUCAUUCAUCCGAUCUUCUUGCUCCAAUCCUGGAAAGGUUAGUGACAAGAAUACCCGAAGGAAUAUUUUUACAAUUAUCCUUAUAUGCUCAACACACAUGGUAAUGUUGCAAAUAAUUAAAAGCUCAUUUUACAAUCUGAUCAGUGCUUGUUUUAGGACACUAAGCUUGUCCUUGGGAAACCAUCAAUUUAUGUCGGCGAAGUGGUUUCCCCUCCAACGUAGACCUAUAUCAAGAUCAACUCAACAAGAUCUGCAAUAUUUAUUAUAGACAUAUGCAUCGACAACGUCCCUUUUAAAGUUUUUAUAAAUAGAAAGGAUGAGGGGGUUGGAGAUCUCGAAUGUGGUGAUGUUGGAGAGACCAAUGGAUUGUGCAGAUGUUGCAUAUGAGCAUGGAGCAAAUGAAGUGGCUAUGAAAUAAAUUCCAUGCUCAUUAAUGCUAAGAGUGAAAUCCAUGUGGUAUGGUGAAAAUGAUAAGGUGAGUCUGGUUAAAAAGGAAAAGAAAAAGGAUACACGGACGACUUGGUUCGAAACUAGCACAGCUACCAUUCCCCGGCAACGGCGCUAGAAAGCUUGUUGGGUAUUUUAAACGCAAACAGAAAAGUCCGCAAGCGCACGGAUACCGAUGUAGCUUUCACCCAGGAGUAUUCCAGAGUAUCGAUUUUCCACAGAGAACGUGAGUGUACUAAUUAAGAUCCAUGAUCGCCCAGGGAUAACUAUAUAAGUAUUUUUGGUGGGAAGAGAGGAAGUUUCCUGAGAGUUCUCUUGUUGAUCUAAGAAUCAAGAAUUACUUCAAGAUUAUCUAUAUCGGGACAUUAGAGCACUAACCACAGAAAGAGAUGAGAAGGGGGCUAGGAAGGUCUGACUACGGUCCUACAAACACCGAUCCGAACGUGGUGGAAUACGUCGACCGUUAGGGCUGUCACUACCCAAAGGCUACCUCAACAAUCCGCAGGAUUGGGUGCAAUUCCAGGUAAUUGCAAGACUAAACACCACGUCUAAUCUAUUAAUUACUACUCUAGCAUUAUAAAGACUAGAGCACUUGAUGCAAGCGGGAAUCCAAUAAAUAACUUGAAUGUAAAUAAAAGUAAUUAAAGAAAUCAGGAAUUAUGAAUUGAAGAACCUGGAGAACGAUGAAGAACAAACCAGAUGCUGCAAAAGUAUAAUGUUGAGGAAGAUCCGACAGAUCCGGCUCCUCCUCCGCUCUCCUCUUCUCUCUCCCUAUUUUCUAGAUUACAACUAGAACUAACUAGAACUAGAACUAGAGGAACUAGAACUAGAACUAGAUGAACUAGAACUAGAUCUAGAUGAACUAGAACUAGAUCUAGAUGAACAAGAGGUAGAACUAGAAGAACUAGAGGGAUCCUCUCUACUUGGAUGAAGAAUUGAAACCCUAGCUUGGAUUCUGUAGAAGAGGUAUGAUCUCCAGGGGCCAGGCGGUCUGGUUUUAUAGUCCCUUCAAGUGAAUAUGGGCCAUUGGAUCAAACCGACAUUGAUUGAACGGUUAUCCUUGAUCCUUUAGGUCGGUGGAGCAUGAUCCCCGAGUUGUACCCUGAUUGGGCAGAAUAGGUGGGCGGGCGCCCUCAGGACUUGGGCGGGCGCCCUGUCCCUGAGCCCUCUCGGCCUCCGCUUCGGUCCCGUAGCUUCUGGAGUCUUCUAGAUGAUAGAAAAUUGUGCGGCACGUUAAUAUCUCUAUGUAAACCCGACGUGUGGGCCUUUCUUCCGUAUUUCCUGAUAAACCCCUGCAGAAAUAGACAAACACCAAAACUCAUGGAAUUCUGUCAGAUAAAACCCUAAGUCUAGGUGUUAGUUGCAUUUGGAUCCUUUUCCAUGAUUAGUUGAUGGUUAAAUAUGAGCAUUAAGGACCGUCAACAGUGGAUAUAGCACAUUGUCCUCGCCAUAGAUUACAUAUGACUUGGCCCGUCGAGCAAUACGGCGGGCCUCGGAUCGAUCUUCUGGUAGCUCGCAGCGGAUUAGGUAGUUGAGGAACGGCGUGCGCCAAUCAAACGGUCGACUGGGCCACUGUUCCACCUCCAUUACCUCGGCUGCCAUUAGUAGCGCUUCGACAGUGUCGGUUUGCUGGGUAGGAGCGGCUUCGACACCAGCCCCCGAGCCCAAGUCGACGGAUGGCUCGUGUAGAUCUCUUGAGAACGCGUCAGGUGGGAUCGUGCCUCGAGUCGACGCAAUCUUAGUGAGUUCGUCGGCCACCUUGUUGUAGCGUCGGGCGAUGUGGACGAGCUCAAGGCCAUGGAACUUGUCCUUGAGUCGAUGGACCUCCUUGCAGUACGCCUCCAUUUUCGGGUCAUGGCAGCUCGAGGUCUUCAUCACUUGGUCGAUGAUGAGCUGGGAGUCGCCUCGAACGUCGAGGCAUCGGUCUCCUAGCUCGAUGGCGAUCUUCAGACCGUUGACAAGGGCCUCGUACUCCGCGACGUUGUUGGACACAGCAAAAUGUAUCCUGAUGACAUAUCUCAUAUGGACGCCCAAGGGCGAGAUGAAUAGAAGGCCCGCCCUAGCUCCCGUCUUCAUGAGAGACCCAUCGAAAUACAUCGUCCACAGCUCUGACUGAACCUGAGACGGGGGAGCUGGGAGUCUGUCCAUUCCGCGACGAAAUCCACCAAGACUUGUGACUUGAUAGCUUUACGGGGCGCAUAGGUGAGAGUCUCACUCAUGAGCUCGACCGACCACUUGGCGAUUCUUCCCGUGGCCUCCCGACUUUGGAUGAUCUCGCCCAAGGGGAAAGAUGAGACCACCUUGAUAGGGUGGCCGAGGAAGUAGUGCUGCAGCUUGCGUCGGGCGAGGACUACGGCGUAGACUAGCUUCUGGAUUUGUGGGUAACGCGCCUUGGUCUCUGAGAGCACCUCGCUGAUGAAAUAGACCGGUCUCUGGACUGGCAGUGCAUGCCACUCCUCCUGCCUCUCGACUACUACCGCUGCACUGACGACCUGGGUCGUCGAAGCGACUUAUAGAAGCAGAGGUUCUGCGCGUUGAGGCGGGACUAGCACUGGUGCAGAGGUCAGCAUUUUCUUCAAGUUAUCGAGAUUUUCCUCGGCCUCUGGGGUCCAAGAGAAACGCUCGACUUUCUUCAGAAGUCGAUACAGUGGCAACGCCUUUUCUCCCAACCUCUAGAUAAAACGACUCAGCGCCGCUAAUCAUCCCGUAACUCUCUGCACGCCCUUGACGUCUCGGAUCGGCCCCAUUCUCGUGAUGGCCGAGACUUUCUCGGGGUUGGCCUCGAUGCCACGCUGGGAAACGAUGUAACCCAGGAGCAUGCCUCGAGGUACACUGAAAACGCACUUCUCGGGGUUGAGCUUGAUCUGGUUGGCGCGUAAGCAGCUGUAUGCGAUCUCGAGAUCCUAGAUCAGGUCUCCCCAUUGCUUUGACUUGACGACGAUGUCGUCGACAUAGGCCUCGACCGUCGACCCUAUGUACUUGCCAAACACGUGGAGCAUGCAGCGCUGAUAUGUGGCUCCCGCGUUUCGAAGCCCGAACGAUAUAGUUACAUAACAAUACAUUCCAAAAGGUGUGAUGAAAGAUGUCGCGAGCUGGUCGGACUCUUUCAUUUUUAUUUGAUGGUAACCAGAAUAUGCAUCAAGGAAAGAAAGGGUUUCAUAUCCUGCAGUAGAAUCAACAAUUUGAUCGAUACGUGGUAAUGGAAAAGGAACUUUCGGACAUGCUUUAUUUAAACUUGUAUAAUCAACACACAUCCUCAUUUUCCCAUUCUUUUUCUUAACUAGUACAGGGUUUGCUAACCAGUCGGGAUGAUGAACCUCCUUGAUGAAUCCGGCCUUCAAAAGCUUGUGGAUUUCCUCGCCAAUGAUCUUGCUCUUCUCCUCAUCGAAGCGGCGCAAUCGCAGCUUCACUGGCUUGGACCGGCUCGAAUUUCCAAGGAGUGCUCGGCGACUUCCCUCGGUAUGCCUGGCAUGUCCGAGGGACUCCAUGCAAACAUGUCAGCAUUUGCACGGAGAAAGUCGACGAGCACGGCUUCCUAUUUGGGGUCGAGGUCAACGCUGAUCGUCAGCGCCUUGCCGUCGGAGUUGUUGGGGUCGAGCGGGAUCUUCUUGGUUCCUUCCGCCGGCUCGAAGCUGCCCGCGUGGCGCUUGGGCUCCGGAGCCUCAGCGGCUAGGGCCUCGAGCUUCGAGGCGAGCUCGAUGGAACUCUCGAUUGCUUCCCCAUACUCGACGCAUUCGACGUCGCAUUCGUACGCGUGCUCGUAGGAGGAGCUGACGGCGAUGACACCCUUGGGCCCGGGCAUCUUCAGCUUCAGGUACGUGUAAUUGGGAAUUGCCAUGAAUUUGGCGUAGCCCGGGCGCCCGAUGAUGGCGUGGUACGUGCCUCGGAACCCCACCACCUCAAAGGUGAGGGUCUCCUUUCUGAAAUGGGCUACCGUGCCAAAGCAAACCGGUAGGUCGAUUCAACCUACCGGCAACGCCUUCUUCCCUGGUACGACGCCAUGGAAUCCACCGGCGCUUGGUUGGAGCUGCGUCCUGUUGAUGCCGAGGAGGUCGAGGGUCUCGACGUAGAUGAUGUUUAGGCUGCUGCCGCCGUCCAUCAACACCUUUGAGAGCUGGGCGUUGACGAUGAUGGGGUUGACGACGAGCGGGUAGACGCCAAGGGCGAUUACCCUGUCGGGGUGGUCGUCUCGGUCGAAGGUGAUGGGGGUGCUCGACCAGCUGAGGUACUGGGGCACUGCCAUCCUUGCUGCAAAAACCUCACGGCGUUCCUUCUUGCGUUGCCUGGCGGUCAACUGCGUUGAGGGUCAACCAUAGAUCAUGUAGCAGUCAUGGACGACAGGGAAGCCGUCGUCGUCUUUGUCGUCCCCCUUGUCGCCGCUCUUCUCUUUCUUUGGGUCAUCGCGGGCGUCCUUCUUGAACCCUAGACCGUCGAAAUGCUUUUUCAGCAUGCGGCAGUCCUCGAGCUUGUGGUUUGCCCCCCCCUUGUGGUAGGGGCAUGGCUCCUUUAGCAUCUUAUCGAAGAUGGCUCCCUCUAGAGGGCCUCGAGGCCUUUUGCGUUCCAUAGCGGCGACGAGAUCGUUGUCGAGGUCUUCCCGCUGGAAUGGUCGGGAUUUCUUCUUCUUCUUGUUCUUCUUGGGCCCUUGACUAGGGCCCUCAUCAUCAUUAGCAAGCGGCUUGCCUUUCCUUCCUUCACAGCUAAAGAAGGCGCCGACCGCUUCUUCCUCCGCCACGUAGUUUGCCACUACGUCCAUCAGCUCAUCGACGGUCUGGGGGCGAUUCUGGCCAAAUUCCCGUACCAAGUCUCGAUUGGUGCUACCAGAGACAAAGGCCAGGAUGAUGUCGUGGUCGGGGAUGUGCGGUAGCUCGGUGCGUUGCUUCGAGAAGCGUCGAGCGUACUCUCAAAGCGUCUCUCUUGACUUCUGCUUGCACUUGCUGAGGUCCCACGAGUUGCUGGGUCGUAUGUAUGUCCCUUUGAAGUUACCCUCAAACACCCUGACCAAAUCGACCCAAUCGUGGAUCUGUUUAGUCGGGAGCUCCUCGAGCCAUCUGCGGGCGGUGUCGGAGAGGAAGAGCGGCAGCUGUCUAAUGAUGGCUCGAUCGUCCCCUCGAGCGCCUCCUAGCUGACAGGCCAGCCUGAAAUCUGCCAGCCACAGCUCUGGCUUGGUCUCGCCGUUGUACUUUGCAAUGCUGGUCGGGGGUCGGAACGAGCUGGGCAGCGACGUGCUGCGGAUCGGCCUACUAAACACCCGUGGGCCUGGUGGCUCUAGGGCCAUUCGGUCCUCAUCGCUGUCGUACCUCCCGCCGCGAUGGGCGCUGUAACCGCGUUCUUCCGCGUCCCCGUACCGACGGUGACGAUUCUCUUCAAUAUUGCGUCGUGUCGUCGUUGGUUGUCGACGGGGAGGACGAGCGUGGUCUUUUUCCCUCGAGGGGGCGACUGCUGAUGGACUGAUACCUCUUUGUCAUUCUGGGCUGGCUCAUCACGCUUUUCUGUAGCCGCCCCUCGACGUCGGGAGGCCGAGCUCUCCGCUUGCUGAACUGCCGCCACCUGGAGCAGAGUCUGCACCUCGUCUCGGAUGUGUCGUGCUUGGGAGUUUGAGGGCUCGGGCAUGUUACACAGCAGCAUUGUCGCCGCCACGACAUUCUGGCCUGCUCGAGGGAAACGGCUGACAGGCUGCUCAGGCUCUCCGUCUCCAACGAUCUGCUGGUGCACCUCUCGAGCGCGUCUGCGGACACUUCCGCCGGGCGGGUAUGGCAGAUCCUGCUCAAGAUUUUGCUCGAGCAGGACGAGGCGCUCGCGAUCUUCGUCAAGCUUUGUCUUGAGCUCUCGUAGCUGCGCAAGUUGCACGGCUCUGUCUUCUUGUGGAGAUGGGUUAACCUGUCACUCGUUCCCAGGCGUCCUGAGAUCUUCUCUUGCUGCAGGGGCUCGACUGCCCACAACGGCGUCUUGUGUCUCGUCGGUGGUUUCUACCGCCCCGUCGAUAUGGUAGCAUUCCCUAGUAGGGUCGUAGCUGUCGGAUUCCGAGCCGGAGUCCGGUCCGGCGGCGUAGAAACAUCCGCGUCCUUCCUCCAAGCAGACGCUGCCUGAGGGAGGUAAUCGUGUACCGCCCAGGGCCUAGGCGGCGGAGGCCUCGUACAUGCGAGAAGUCCGGCAGCUCGGACAUCCGUUGCUGCGCUCCAGGGUCGCGUGGGAGGACCAUUGGUCUCUCCACAUACGUCUGGGUGUUUGGACAUAUCGCCCUGGCGAGCGACGCCGUGGCAUUGUCCAGUCCGAACGGCAAUGCUCUUCUUGGGGCGAACCAUCCAUGCGGAAGUAGCCUGGCGGUGGGGGAGAGCACGCGGGGCGCGUCCGCUCCUGUCGUCGUGCGAUCCUCAGGGCUCUGAGUCGUCAUACCCGCGGUUUCGGCACGCAGAGUUGUCGGCUCCUGUGCCACCUCCUGCCUGGCACGAGCUGUCGGUCGAGGUGAGGCAGAAGGGCGAUGGCGGCACUGUCCACGCCUCUUCUUGGGUGGGGAGGCAUGGUGGCGAGGACGUCUCGGGGCCCUCAACCGUGUCGGCGCAACGCGGGCUCCUCCCGGUCCUUUGAUCGAGAGCAGGAUCAUAUCAUAGCCGGAGCAGUAGACAUGAACUCGAGGCUCCCAAACCAAAUCACCGUGGAGCGUGGAAUCGGUGAAGUGAGAGUGGCCAUCUGGAAAGGAUGGGAAAUCAGUGAAAAACACGCAGGACCCCUACCUGGCGCGCCAACGAGUAAAUUUGUGUGCGUGCUCCCUUUUCCAGAUGGUGAUGCAAAAAGACACAAAGAUUUAUUCUGGUUUGGGCAAGAGAAGGCCCUACGUCCAGCGGGGGGAGAGUUUGUAUUAUAUUGCACCUAAGUGCUUGUACAGGGGUGAAUACAAGCGAGUAUGAGCUGGGAUGGAGUAUGGAGGCUCUACUAUGUAUGAGUGUUGUCUUGCGUGAUGUCGUAUCUCUUCCGAGACCUCCCCUUUUAUAGUUCCAAGGAGAAGCCUAGGGUACAAGUAUAGGCGUCAGAGUAGGGGUCAAUAGAGGUAUGGCGCGCUGACCUACUCGAGGCCUCCGUACCGGCGUGGUCUCGAGCCGUCCCGUCCUGGUAGCUUGAUGAUGAUUACGCGUGCCCCUGUAUCCUGCUCUGUGCGCCGUCUUGGACUGGUUUCUCUGUUGCACGCCUGUACGUCAUGGCGGCAGAUACGUCGGAGUGGUUGCAGUGUUGUCGUUCGACGCCCAACCCUUCCCCGGGAAGGAAACGUGUCUGGUCCAGGAUCGUACGCCAUGUAGCGCCUUGCUGUCCAGAGCGUUGACCUUGGAUGUCUCGAGGGGGUCUUGAUUAGAUGUUCCGUCCCUGCUUCCUGCGUCCUGACAUGCUCUGGAUUGUUUGGUGGGGAAGGCUGCAAAAAGAAUGACGGGACGGGUGCCUGUUCCCUAUCACGCUUCCCGUUACUGGCGUGUUAGGUGAGAACGCGACAGACACAUUAAAUGCCCUGGCUCCCGUGCCCGCGUCAGGAGGCGGGCGGCGUCCUUGCGCUCGACGCCUCCCGAUUCGCUCGAGCCUGUUUCCGUAUUCGACGGUAGUUGACGCUCGAGCCCUGAUCGAUUCGCUCGACGCCCUUUCCGUCUUCGAGGCCACGGUCGUUGAUGAUCGUACGCGUGACUGGGUAGAGCGUCGAGUUAGGGCCUCGACUUGCGAACGGGCAAUCUCAUUAUGUACAUCAGUUAGGAUACCCCUUACUGAUACCCUCGACAACUCCACUCACCAGACAACUUGCACUGUCCAACCACCACCCAUGAAUCAUUUUUUUGGCGUAAAGACUAAGCAAAGAAGGGGGAGAGAAGUUUCAGCCAUAGAGGGCAUCUGGGUAGGGUGCUCACCCUACUGUAGAGGGCGCCCACCCUGUCCCCUGCUCCUCCUAUAAAAAGCCACUUCCUGCCUCCAUCUUCAUCACACACACAUUCUAGAAAACACUUACACACUUCAGUUCUCGGUUUCCAGAGGAAGUGCUCUUGUAGUGAAGAGAGAAGGAGAGUGGAAGGGAAGGGAAGAGUGGAAUAGAGUUCGGUAGUUUUAGAUAGAAGAGUGAUAGAGCAAGGCUCAUCUAGUAAUUAGUGAUCCCGCUAUCCAAAAGCGGAACUAAAAGUUGCUUAGGGGAAGUGCUGUCGAACUCUUCAAUUAAAAAUUGUCUCGGACGACUAACACCUGGACGACUGACUUAUUGGACGGCUGACCACUAACAUUUAUUUCUCACAUUCUUCCAUGAGUUUUUGUUUAUGUCAAUUUUUCUGUAGGAUGUUGAGGAAGAUGAAGAGCGCAGGCAAGGCCCUCAAGAACAUGGGGAUGAGGAGUUCAUCCCAACUCUCCUCGCACCAGUCGGAGAUGAGCGUCGACUCGACGCCCGAGCCAACUCCAUCGUCUUCGUCAGGCACAAGAGUCAAGGUUCUCCUCAAGACAGGAGACCUUGGGCUGAAGACCCGCGGAGAGAAGGAAGUGUUCCAGCAGCUGAAGAACAAUGAUUUCAUUCACACCCCCACUCUUGAUCCUAUCAUGCUGCAAGAAACAGGUAUGGAUACCGAAUUUGACUUGAUUUUUUAGAUGGUGGGAUGGACAAACUUUCGGGACAUAAUGGAACUAGCGUCUCAUCUUCUCACCAUUAAUUUCUCUACACUUUGCAAUAUUAUGAGGGGGAUAUCGCUUUUUGGAUGUUCAAAAAAGAAAUCAUGUUGUCUUGGAGAGAAUUGAGCGAUCAUCUCGGUUUCUCUUCAAGAUGCAUCCUAGAUAUUGACACCGAUUUGCCUAAUUUUGAGAGGCACUAGUUCUGGAGGGAGAUUUCAAGGGACAAAUACUUCUUUCAGGCCUGAACCAGUGACAUGGAACAUCCUACUCUCCGGAUGCUCCACAAAUGGAUCGGGUACAAUCUUUUUCAUCACGAUGAUAUUAGAAAAGUAAGCGUAGGAGAUUUGCAACUUCUUUAUGCUUGUAUAAAUAAAGUACCUAUUUCACCUGCCACUCUUUUAGUUGCUCAUUGCCUUAGUUUACCGAGUCUUCAGGGACCUAUCGGUUGUACUUCACUCAUCACUCGUCUAGCCUCUAGUCUCAACUUGCUAGAAAACUCGUCAUUGGAAUUCAUUGACGAGUUACGAAUAUAUCAUGCCUAUGACAUAUUUAGACAAGCUCGGAUGCUGAAAAAGGAAGGAAACGUAAUGUAUAUGUUGUACAGUAAUAAAGGCAAGAUUCGGUUACCUAACCCGAACCUUGGCCUCUAUGUCGUUCAAAAUUAUUUGAUUGAGAUUGCAGUGGCACCGGUAAACCAGAGAGCUCCACAGAGCGUGGCAUCCGAAAGGAUGGCCACCCAUCAAGAACGCACCUGGUAUGGAGCUGAUCCUGGGCCAGAAGAAGCAGCGCACCUGCAUUAUUGCGACUACCACCCCCGAGUUCUUCGGGACCCAUGGGUUCAACAUGCUCAACCAAAGGAACCAGCACAGGAGACGUGGCCAGAAGGCCAAGAUCACCGGUGGGCGAACCUGCCUUUCCGUUCGGGAAGGUACUCCACUGAUCCGUUUGGAGCUUCAGGAUCUAGGCCCCAGCCCCAAUUUGAUGCAGGACAUUACUCCGACGCCUCCUAUGUUUUCUCUGGGGACUACUACCAAGAGGUCGGCGCCUUCUUCAACCGCACCGACAACACUCUCCUCGCCAUACAAGAAAGGCAGACGCAACAUGGACGACUCCUAGAACAGCAGCAAAAGUGGAACUAGGACCACGACGCUGCAGCACAAGACCUGAGGCAAGACACCACGUCGAUAAACGACAACUUCACCACCAUGAUGCGGUUCUAGAACAUUGAGUAGGACCGACACAACCACAUCCAGCUUGGGGGAGUUCCUCCCCAUCUACCGAGUAAGUUUUUAUUUGCUUUUCUUAUUUAUUUUUCUGUUCUAUUGUUUCAAAACAAAUGAAUGAAGAGUCUUUUGUGCUAUAUAUGAUCUUAUAGAUGCCUAGAGUAGAUUGUGACUUAGUAGAUAGUAGAUACUUAGAAUCCAUUCUCUAGCUAAUCCAACGUCACCUUGCAUUUAUGUGGAGUAGUCUAUUUCUAAUCACUGUGUUAAUUACACAUGAGCUUAUAUUUUAUCUUUAUUAUUAUGGCUUACCCCCUGCCAAAGCAUGUGACGAGUUUCUCAUUAGUAAUCAUGUUCUUGCAAGUUUAUCUGUAGUCUAUGCCUUGAUAGAUUUUACUCCUGUUUUCACUUUCGCUAUUUUCUUAAGCAAAAUUAUAAAUAACGAUACCCGAAAUACUUUCCUAGUGAAAUGCUACAAUGAGGUAUUUUAUCUGUGCGCUUGUGGAUAGAAUAGAUUAUUUUCUAGAGAGCCUUCAUAUUCAUAAAUACCUUUGUACACUCUAGUGCCAUGCUGGGGAUGACAACCUAGUAUUCAAAUGGUGUUAGCAAGUGUCAACAUAUAUCAUUUUCAAUUUAUUUUCAAAGCGAAUGAUGAGGACAUUGCCACGCUGGACACGUCAACACCAUCGUCUUUCUCAAGAUGCAAUUGAUCUCCAACUCAGCUACCAUGUCACUGUCGGAUUCAACAGACAUGUCGUCAGUUUUUCGAUCAUAAAUUCUUCAUACGACAUCGAAACGGUGUGAUCUUGUAUUUGUUAGAAAGGAGACGAUGACGCCAUCGUUUUGGAUCUGGUCCCAGUUCCAGAUAAUACGUGGACUAAUCUGUAUGACCAUGGCAUGGUGCUGUGCCACCUAUUUUGGGCCAACUUGGCCAUGUAUCAAGUUCGGGCCUUAAGCCCAAGUAGUGGGCGCCUCCCCCUGGUCGCCUCCAACCCUAGGAUGUCUCUCUUUUAUAUACCACGCAGCCGCCACUAUUUAGAAUUGGGUUUUGAUUAGAUUUUAGUUUUUCCAUCAAAAAACUGAAUCGUUCAUUAUAACUGUGGUGACAAAUCCUUUUACAGUGAGCCAAGGCCCAGAUUCUUGAUUUGCUCCACCGUGUCGAUUAGUCCUUUGGAACCAAGUUCUUGAACCCUCUUUGAAUAUUCACGUCAUUCAUAUUUCCAGUUUUAGUUUGCAUGUUUAUAUCUUCUUGCUUGUGUUCUUCGAUUCGCUUACAGGAUCAACCUUCUUGGCGAGGUCAAUAAAGUUGUGCUUGGUUGAUAACCAACAGAGCUGUGGUGUAAUAGUUACAGGGUUCAAAUCGUGCUGAAUUGAAGCCGGAUCGCCAACAUCGAGUUCUCCAUAAAUUGAAUUUAUCAAUUACCUCUUGAAAAAUCGGGCCUAGUCCUUAUCAUCAAAUUUGCCCCUUCACUGUCUUUAGAUCCAUUGGACCCCAAUUGACAAUAUAGUUUAAACACUCAGCAGAUGGGAAAUUAGUGACAAAGGUGUUGUUGCCCUUUACCUCAAUUACCCACUUAUUCAUGGCAGGCAGUAUUUUUUUAGGUUCCACUGGCAAUUUCUCGGCAGUAAGAGAGCCCUCAAAACACGGACCGUAGCUGUUUUGUCAUCUGAAUGAAACUUUGGGCUUUCAACACCUGGUAUGAAAUAAAACCCAACAACAUAGCCACAGGGAAUAUCAGUAGACUGUAAACUCUUUAAAUUUGUAAUUAGUUUUUGUUUUUGACUAUAUUUAUUGAUCUAUGCAUGUGCCACUAGACAUGUAGCUGGUAACCGUGUUUGCAUUGUAAGUGUCACUCGUACUAUCUUGUGAUAUUAUUCAUAAGUUGCAUCAAUUCUCAACAUCUAGCAUACAAGUGCUCCUUGCAAAAUGAAUUUUGAACAACAAGAGAUGCGGUACGGUUCAGAUUCGGACAGGUCUGCCAGUAAAAGGGUUGCGUAUCUGAGCCCGAUGAAGAUAUGCGAGGAGCAGCACACAUUCAGAAUCGGAGACAAUCAUGACUCCUUACAAGGUUUGGAUCUCGCUGAGCGUAUGAAGGUAAUAGAUGAAAAGCGACUAAUUAUGAAUGUAAGUACGACCUCUAUAUAGCCUUGGCACUGCUCAAGUAUCAAGACCGAGAUUAUAUUGUGGCCCCAUACAACUUUGGGUAAGUGUCAGUUUGUAUGCAUCGUCGUAUUAGUAAUUUCAAUGGGCACUUGCAUCAUAAAUUCGAUUCCCUCACGGACCACCUCCUCAUUAAUUAUAGUCUAGGACGUGUGCUAGUCCUAGACUCUGCAGACUAUGAUUCUUCAAGUUAUGCAAAAUUCAUUACACACUUGGAACGGUAAGUUGAGUAAAUUAAAUAUUCAUACAUACUUUUAUAAUAGUUUUAGAAUAACUUGAGGAUUGUGUAUUCUAUACUAUAGGGGCCUAUAGGUAUUAUAAGAUCAAAGGUGGAAGGUGUAAUUCAUCAGAACUGGGGCAGCCAUUAAGCCGAUACGUACCAAAAUAUCACAAGCUGUCUUUGUUUUUUAUAAAUAUAAUAUGCAUAGGAUGAUGUUGCAACUAAUAAAUAUCCAUUUUUUCGUCAUACAUCAGCGCCAUAAGCAACUAGUCGGAUCGGUCUACUGUGGAUUCUACGUCUGCGAGUUUAUGAGAGAGACCGGAAGAUAUGCAACUAAGGUAAUGCUCUAAUAGUCAUUUAUAUAGUUGUGUCAUUGUUUGUUGCUAAUACGCAUGUGUUAUGAACUAUAAAGAUAUGAUGUUUCUAACUUCCUCCGCAGCAACAUGAGUUGGAAAAGGCGAAGAGCGUGACUCAAGUUGUUUUAUACAACAUAGUUGAUGACCUCUGUACUUUCCUCUUCAGAGAAGCCAUUCCCACCGAAGGGAAAUAUCACGACCCGACCAGCACCCUAGCAAAGCUUGAGCUUAGAGCGCUAAGAGAUAUCAGUAGGCUAAAACUAUCUCGAUCAGGUUAUUAGAGCAGAGGUUUCAGAUGUGAAACCUUAUAUGUCUGUAAACAAAAAACUUGAUGUGUGAUGUUUGUAAUUAAUGUAAUUUUAUGUACAAAAUAAUGGUAUACAUAAAAAUGUUGCAUGUUGCAUUGGUUGACAUGAUCCUCUGGACUUACAUAGUUUCAAUAUUAUGUGUGUAUAUAUAUAUAUAUAUUAUAUUAAAAAUAUGGUUUGCAGGGAAAUUUUGAAAAUCAGGUUAAAUUUGAAAAUCUUAUCACAGGCGGUUUGUUUAUGUGAACCACCUGUAGAAACUUAUUUCUAUAGGCGGAUCCAUUAUGUGAACCGCCUGUAGAAAUAAGUUUCUACAGGCUGUUCGAUUAUAUGAACCGCCUGUAGAAAUGAAUUUCUAUAGACAGUUCUCAGUUACCCGCCUGUGGAAAUGUUUAUUUCCAUGUGCCAACAGCACUAGCGGUUCGUCAAUACGCCUAUGCAAAGGGGUUGCGAACCGCCUUUAUAGUACCUCUGUGUACUAGUGGUUUUUGGUUUUUGAGGUGAAUUAAACAAGGCCUAUCCAAACGUCACUUAGGCCUUGUUUAGUUCCAAAUUUUUUUGCAAAAUUUUUCAGAUUUCCCGUCACAUCGAAUCUUUAGACACAUGCAUGAAGUAUUAAAUAUAGACAAAAAUAAAAACUAAUUGCACAGUUUGGUCGGAAUUGACGAGAUUAAUCUUUUAAGCUUAAUUAAUCUAUGGUAGUAUCGAUUUCCCAAAAAUUUUUGGAACUAAACAAGGCCUUAGCCUUACCAUGGCUCGCCCAUGGUCUACACUGUGGUAACUUGGAAUGCGAGGGCCAAGCAAAGCGAUGUGUCCGCGAGCGGGCGAGGGUGCUAUACUACGGUGUCUGGGCAUUGGCGUAGGCGCACACUAUGUAGGUGGUGGUCUAGGUGCUGGCGCUUUGGCGGCGAGCGCAGCCAUCAUGCAAGAGCAGUGUACUGGCCGACGCGAGCAGGAGCGGUGGCCCACGGGCAGAGCACACGCAUGCCAGAAACACUGGUGGUUAUGUUUGCCUUGUUUAGUUUUGAAAAGAUUUUGAAUUUUGAUACUGUAGUAUUUUAUUUUUGUUUAUAGCAAAUAUUUUCCAAUUAUAAACUAACUAAGCUCAAAAGAUUUGUCUCGUAAAUUACAGAUAAACUGUACAAUUAGUUUUUGUUUUCUUCUUUAUUUAGUGCUUCAUGUAUGUGCGACAAUAAUUGAUUUGACGGGGAAUCUUGAAAAGUUUUUGAAUUUUUAGGUGAACUAAAUAAGGCCCUAGUACUUUUGUACAUUUUCAUUGAUUUGAGCAAUCCAAAGGUGAUAUACUGUACCUUGCCAGACAAAAUAAAAACUUGCACACAUAUACGCUAUAUAAUAUGUUUUAUGGCAAAUACGAAGACACACUAUUUUUUCCUAGAAAAAUGGAGUAAGCAAAGCAGGCGUGUUCCUGCUAAAUUAAGGUGAUGCAUACACGGAUAGAUCAUUGUAUAUUUUGGAGGUCUACGUCCCUGAGCAUCUAGCGAAGGAACAGACCUGGAACAAAUGUACUAGUGCUGGCCUCAGUGAAAACCACGGAAAAAUCCGUUGACCAGGUCGGCCACAGGAUGACGGCGAAACGGUACACGUGGCCGAUGCUGCGGCCGGGGCCGGCGCCUCUGCAGGAACCACGGAAGGUGUGGCUGUGGCUGCUGCUGCUGCUGCUCCUCCUCCUCCUGUGGGGGCUGCUGCUCCUCCUGUUGUGGCUGCUGCUGCUCGAUAGCCUUCUCCUGCUCGUUCACCAGGCGGCACUGCUUCCUUACCUGGCCCUUGCCCUCGCCGAUGAGCACGUCAAGCAUUCCGACCUUCUGCAUCGCCUGGGCGAACUUCUGCUGCCACAGUGCUUCGUUCCGGGCGAAGGCCUCAACCAUCGCCUUUGUCUGUGGGUCCUCGAUGAGAGCGUUGUCAGAGGUGAGCAGGCCGCGCCGGGCGAGCAGCUCGGAGUAGUAGGCGACGUCGAGCUUCUCUCCUGUUUGCGCAUCGAACUUCACCUUGGGCGCUUGCUCGGGGUCGUCGUCGGGCUUCCGCGGCGGGCACCUCUGGCGUAGCCACUUGGCAUAGUUCGGGUCCAGCGUUGGGUCGAUGUCGGCGUUUUUGGAGAAGUUGUAGAUGCGGUUGGCGAACAUAAAGCAAUGUGCGCCCCCGAUGGAGUGCGCGCCGGAGAGCAAGACAAGAUCCUCCUGGGAGAGGCCUCGCUGGUUGAAGAGCUCGGUGAGGCGCGGGACGUGAUGGCCCGGCACAGGGAAGUUGCCCGGGAGGUCGUCCAUGUUUGAGCGCAUGCCGUCUCGGCGUCCUGCCACGACGUCGUAUCUUGGGAGGCCCGCGGCCACGGCGGCGUCCCGCGCCGCGAAGGCGAGGAUAUCUGCGCAUGAGACCGUGCCGGGGCACAUGCCCUCUAGAGUGGACUUGGCGAGGUCGAUGGUUCUAAGGCCGACGAGGGUGAAGCCGUUGGCAGACGACUCCUUCUCUGGGACAUCGCCAGCGGGCGACACGUCCAGGAGAAUAGAAGCGUCGCAACCCUGAUAGAUGCACAGAACCGGCCGGCCGGCGGCACAGGCAUGUCAUCAGACAACGACGAUAUGUUGUGCAUGCAUGCAGCAUAAGUGUGAGUAAAGGUUGAGUGUUAAUUAGGGAAGUUACCGUGAUGAAACAGUCGUGGAAGAAGAGGCGAAUGAGGCCUGGGGAGAUGCCGCGGUCCAUAGCGAUUUCGUUGUUGACGAUAUCGCUGAUGACGCUCUCGGCCACCGGGCACGUCUUGCCAUAGAACCCCACCCGCAGGCCGUUGACGAUCAACGCAUCGACGGCACACAGCUGGGUCGCCGACGCCAACAAGCCAAAAAGGAACAGCAACGUGUGCUGCGACAUGUCUCCAAAGGUCGGGAUCCCGCCUCCGACAAUGAGUUAACUGCGUGGUUAUUAGCCCGCAUAACGUUGUGGGAGAGGAAAGGCAAGCUUAAACGACAAGCUUUGUUGCAGGGAAGAGCGACCAUGGCCUCACAUUAUUUAGCCUCCACUUUUGUAGAGACCGUGCUAAUAAUAGGCAUCAAAUAAGGCCAAAUUUGCAUCUAAUUAAUAUGAUAGCCCUCUCCCUAUAUUAUGAUACAGUUAGUUGUACAUCCCUUGCCUUUUGGUAGUACACUCUCUCCCCCUAAGAUUAACAAGUUUAAGACAAUUUAGCACAUGCUGGCGUCACCAGCGGCACUAGCUUGCGCGCCGCGCUCUACGACGUGCUGGCCCUGUGCUCCGCUUUGCCCUGCGUGCGGGCUCUGGCUUCCAGCCUUUGCCGGCAGCGGCGAGCAGUUGCCAAAGUGCCAACGAUAGUUCCACUCGCCUGUCAGCCCAUGCCCGUACUCGUGUGCCCGCGCGUCUGCGCCCCGCUCGUCGGCCACGCGUCCACACCUACCUCACCCUUACACUACUAAAGUCAGGUACAGCAGAGGCGGCUAAAUAAGCUCUGUAAGGGCGGCUGGCCCAGCCGCCCUUAUGCAAACGCUCUUACAGUGAAAUUCACUGUAAGGGCGGUUCAACACCAGCCGCCCUAACAGUGGCCCACUGUAAGGGCGGUUGGAAACAACAACCGCCCUUAAUACUAACCACUGUAAGAGCGGCUGGUGCUUCCAGCCGCCCUUAUAGUGAGCAUUAGUAAGGGCGGCUUGUGUCUCAGCCACCUUUAUUGUCUGCAUUUGCAAGGGCGGCUCAAUCUAGGACCGCCCCUACAGUUAUUUUUCAGAAAAAAAAUUAAAAUUACAAUAAUCGAGUCGACAGCACAGCACAGCACCACAUACAUAUAUACAUAUAUAAUCAGAUUCUCAACAUCACAGAUUCACAACAUAAAUAUCCAUACAUAUACACAGCACCACAUUUAUAGUCCAACACAUUUCAAGUCCAAAAUGUUUUCAAGUCCAUUACAAAUCCAUCCAAAAGAGUCUGAAAUUUUUCAAGUACUAAUACAAAUCAAUCACAGUCCAUUCCAACAAGUUCACAUGUAAUCAACGACCUAGACAUAGCCUAUCCCACUGACGGAGGUGCUGGUAAAGAGGAUUGCUACCUAAGUCGGACUGUGGGUUAUGGUAAUCACCUUUGUAAUAAACAACAUGGUCCAUUAUAAAGUUGCAAAGGUCACCGACAAUCUCUAAGAGGACAUCAUCCCUGUAGACAUCCCUUUUUAGUUCUUUUUCUUCUUUCCACUACAAGCUCGUAAAAGAUAAGUUUAGGUCUAGUGUAAAGAAGAGAUUGCAAAGCUAAGUGAGAAAUACUAUGUUUUCAUACUACAACCCACUAAGAGAUUCAAACUUACCAAUUCAGGGUGUCUCCUGUAGCCUUUUGUGUUACUGAUGAAAGCACAUACAUAGUAUCCACAAUGCAGACUCCCUGGCCUUUGCUUGGGAAACUUUGUUUUAAUUUGCAAAUGAAGAUGUGUCAAGUAUAAGUACUGAAAAAAUUAGUAAUUUUAUGUCAAACUAAGUCGCACUUACCAAACAUAGAGAUUUGAAACGCAAGUGGCUCCCCAGACCUGGAUCAUGCCUUCCUUUGUGAUUCUUGACAUAGGCCCUUAAUGCCCUGUUUGAAUGAGAACCGAUGUGACUUAUAGUAUGCAGAAGUCGAUAUUAAAGUGAAUCAUAUAAUGUUACUAGGAUUACAAAUUUGCUUACGUAAUGAGAAUUGACAUGAAGUCUUUAUAUGUGUGAGGGUCAAAAUCUGCAGAAUCACAAUUCCAUGCCAUGUUCAUCCCGACAUCGACACCUAUGACUAUCCAGUAAUUGCUACAACAAUUUUAAAUAAACACAUAAGUACCUUUGUAUUAAAAUAAGAUAAACCGAACAAUCGUUAAGUAUACAAUUAAUCGAACUUACUUGAAGUGGUAUGGAAUCCAUAUUGUUUCGAAGUGUUGGAGAUUCUUUAAACAUACGGCAAUCCACGCCGCAACCUUAAGAGACUCUUCUCUUAUUUUGGCCGCACGGAUCUUUUCUUUCUUCGCUAACGUCCCUCCAGCAGCUAGCUGUGGCGCAUCCAAUUCCCAUCUCGAUGGGUAAUUAAAAUUUAUUUGUGCUAUAGGCAUAGGGUCUACAUACCUGGCUUUCGUUGAGCGUGUAGAUUUCAUAAAGUUUGCUUGCAUUCUAAAAAUCACGACGUAAGUUAGUUUUAGCAAAAUCCAACUAGGUUACUUUCAGAUCAUAUCAAGAGGAAGAGGACUUACAGGCACCAACUGCGAAUUAGAUUCAUCGACAUUGAACUAAGGUGAAAGCAUGAUUGGAUGUCGCUGAAGUCAAAAGCAAUACCCGAAGCAGGGCCUCCAAAUGUGCGAGCAGGUAUUACUGCUGCCAACACAUUCAGUUCUGUACGUGAAACAUGCAAGUAGUACCAAUCAUGGAACCUUCUCAUUCCAUAUGGCAUCUUACACAAGAUCCGGUUUGGUAGGAAACGUUUGCCUUUUACAUAUUCUUUCGGGCAAUCCUUUGACCACUUGAUGGUUUCAACAUCUGGAUACUUUGUUAUCGUUGUGUAGUCUAAGGUGUCAGUGGGCAUCCUGUAGGCAAAUUUGUUCGGGCCUUGGUUCUCAGGCUUGAACUGGUCAUGAGCAUACCACUUGUACAUACCCAAGACGUUCAUAUCCACAAAAUAUUUUGACCCUGUCGACCUUAUCAUGAUGGGGAUCUUUUCACGAGGUUCACAUACUAGAGGGAGUAAUUCUUCAUGUGUCGGCGGUGCUUGUUGAAAAGUCUGUGCCAUCUCAUCAUGGCCUUGCUCGGGGACCCUGAAGGUUGUGGCUUAGGAGGCACAUGUGGUGUCUCGUCAUGCUCUGACUUGGCACGAGCUGUAGAAGGUUUUGGGCUAUGAGGCACAUGUGGUGUCUCGUCACGCUUUGGCUCGGCACGAGCUGUAGAAGGUUGCGGGCUCUGAGGCACAUGUGGCGUCUCAUGCUCUGGCUCCGCACGAGCUACAGAAGGUUCACCUAUUUGAGGCUCAUCUGGCGUCUCAUCAUGCCCUGGCUCUUCCCCUUGCUCGCCAGCGGUUGGAGAAGCCGGUACCCUCUCAUGCAUCAAGUGGUCCUCAUGAGACGGUGAAUACACCUCUCCAUCCUCAAGGUGGACUCUCUCCAGGUGUACAUCACUUGGAGUUGGCGAGGAAACAUUCAACACAAUAUCCUUUUUGUACCAGAGGAUGAACUGUUUCAUGAGUAGUCCAAGCUCACGAAUCCCCUCGCUAGUUGGGUGUUCAAUCUUAUGCUUCGCAUACUCGGGAUUCAUGGUAUGCACCUCAACCUUACUAUAGUCGGCCGGGACUGGUUUAUGGUGCUAGAUGUCGCCUGGAAUUGGAGGAUGUGCCAGACUCGUUGCCACCUCAGCCAUCUCCUGUCCCCUACCGAUGGGAAUCAACAGGAUGCAACGAGUUGGCACCCGUAUGUGAUCGACUGAGGCGGAGGUUGCAUUGGAACCUUGGCUGCUUUGAACAUUUGGAGGGCUACCAACUAGAACCAAAUCCCUAGGCGGCUCCAUUUGUGACCGUCGCUCAGUAGACAGUCCUUGCUCCUGCAAGACUCUCCUCUCGGUUUCUACAAUGUUUCUUGUACAUCUCCACAUCCUCUCGAAAUCCUUCCUUCUAGGUCUUAUGUUUCCCUAACCCCCUGACACGGCCUGGGUGCUCGGGGUUUCCUAAGCCAAGGCUAAGCUCGUCCUUCUCUCUAGAAGGAGUGAAUGAGCCCUUCUCGAUGUCUUCAGAAUAUUUCAUUAUCCUUGACACUGCCUCCUCGGUCUCUAGCUUGGCAAAUUUCAGACUGCUGCCUGAUUCUUCAAGAUUCCUUGCAAAGACCCAACGCUUGGUGUGUGGCUUCAAUUUCAUUACUUUUGUAUUCCCAGCAGCUACGGCCUCCUCUUCCAUCUUUCUAAACAUAUCUUCCUUGCCCUCGUAGCCACCGGGGCCUAGACAAGGGUGGUGGAUGUUCUUCUUCGCCUGCAAGCUAUUCUUUUCACUUAAGGCCAAAGAUUCUGGUGCAGUCUUCUCAGCCACGAGCAACGCCCAGAUAGUAGGAGUGAUGUGUCCAUACUUAUGGUACGGAGUUAACCCCUUUUUGAUGUACUCGGUGUUCAGCUCAUUCCUCCAACGUCGGAAGGAUUCUCCCAUCAUCUUCAUAGCACGUCGUCUUACAAGGGGUAGCUUCUCUGCCGGAAUCCUAAAAUUAAAAUUGACCAACAGACAAUUUUUCCAUAGGUCAUCCUUUAUGUCCUCUGGAUAGUCGCGCUAAUUACGGAUUGAUGGGUUCAACUUGUCUCUGACUAGGGCCCCAAUUGCAUUGCGGAAUUUUGAUUGGAACUCCUUUGGCUUAAGGAUCUGCCCUUCUUCCCCAACCUCAUCAAUCACAUAAACCAUUUUUGCAUUUGGAUAGUGGUUUGGCUUUCUGACCCCUCCUUUCCUUUUCACUUUGGUAGUCGAGGCCGAGGCUGUGCCUUCAGGUUGCGGAGCAGAGGCCACAAUGGUAGUCUCUGUGCCUGUUGCCUCUGCCCUCCUUUCCCUUGCCCCGUCAUGUCCAGCGAAACGUGCCGGAUGCCGACGUGGUCUUUUUGGAGGUUUAGGAGGGACCUGUAUAAACAACAGGUCAAAGUGUUAGUAGAGGUAACACAGCCAUAUUGUUACCAAAAUUUAUGAUUUACUAAGUGACCUUCAUAUCCCUACCUCCUCGUUUGGGUCAAAGUCCUUGUCCAACUCAUCCGUCGUUGGCUUCCGUCUAGGUUCACAUGGGUGUGGAUCCUCAGGACUUUCAUAUCCCGAGGUUGAGUCAUCGUCCUUGCUAGAUCCUUCAUCAGUCUCUCCUCUUCCCGCUUCUCCCCCUUGCUCCUCGCCAGACUCCUCUUGAGUAAGCAUAAAUGCUACACCAUUGCCCACUUCUUCAUCAAACUGUUUCUGAGAAAACUGAUCAUGUAUUUCUUGCUCUCUAGGGGUAGGGUGCUCUUCAUGUUCGUUGGAUCGGGCUGCAUUGCUUGUUGUCCGUGUCAUUUCAUGAUUUGUUCUAACAGAUGAAAGGAAUAAAGUGUGCUUUAGUAGUAGUAGUAGUAGUAGUAGCAGCAGCAGCAGCAGUAGCAGCAGUAGCGCUUUAGUAGUAGUAGUAGCAGCAGUGCUUUAGUAGUAGUAGUAGUAGGUUGAAGAGAGGAGAAGAGAGACCAGCAGUGCUUUAGUAGUAGUAGUAGUAGGUUGAAGAGAGGAGAAGAGAGAGCAGCAGUGCUUUAGUAGUAGCAGCAGUGCUUUAGUAGUAGUAGCAGCAGCAGUGCUAUAGUAGUAGUAGUAGCAGCAGCAGCAGUAGUAGUAGUAGGAUUAUAGUAAGCCACAAAUUAAAAUGACAGUAAGCCCCAACUGUAGUGUAGUACUAGUAGAGUACUAGAGUAGAGCAGCAGCUAGUAGAUAGGAGAGAGAACAGACAAAGGAGACAAAUUAGUAAUCGGUAGUAGUAGUAAAAGAAGAAGAAACUCAUGUGCCUUCAAAUUAGCGGGUUGCUGCUUUAUAGAGCCAUCCGCUGCUCUGUGGUGAUCAUAGAUCAUAGACUUAUAUGACAGUCAGUAAUAGGUUAAGAGAAAACCCAUUUGCACUACAAGACCGAAAACCUCUGGGGGAGGCUAGUACCCAAUGGCACUCCAUUCGAGAUGAGUUUCCCCAGAAGCUUUCGGUCUAGGAGAAGCUAUGGGUAUUUGACUGUCAUGUUGUCUCACUACACCUUUUGUAUCAUCGAGCAAGAAAUUUUGAAAAAAAGUAGUACAAGUAGUAAACGCCUCAGUACCAUGUCAAUCAUCAUUUGAUCAUGAACUUGGAGCAUAAAAGCAUCGUAAUAGAGAAGAUGAGGUCAUAUAGGGGCCGCUGGUAACGAUGCCAAGUUCCUCACAAGUUCUUGAUCAUCAGCUCAUAUUCCAUAUAAUGAAUGGACUUAGACAAUCUCAUCAUCGGCAAAACAAAGGAGAGAAUAAAAAUAGAAGAGGAGAGUAGUAGUAGUAUAGAGGAGCACAGUUUAUAAAACUGUCAUAGAGAGGGUAGUAGUAAAGUUGGGCACAACAACAGUAGUAGUAGGAUUACAGUAAGCCCCAACAGUAGUGUAGUACUAGUAGAGUACUUGAGUAGAGCAGCAGCUACCACUAGUAGUAGACUAGUGCAGUAGUGUUGGAGAGAGGAUGAGAGUAGAAAAUAGAAGAGAGAUAGAAGGAGCAGAGAGGAAGGAGAGGUGAGGAGAGGGAAAGGUUUAAAAAAGGCCUCAGAAACAUGUCUAGCAUCAUUUGAUCAAGAACUUGGAGCAUCAAGGCAUCAAAAACAGAGAAGAAGGCACUAUAGAGGCGGCUAGUAAUGACGCCAAGUUACUCAUAAGUUUUGGAUCAUCAGCUCAUAUUCUAAAAUAAUGUAUUGAAUUAGACAAUUUCAUCAUCGGCAAAACAAUAGUAGAGGAGAGAGAGUAUAGUAGUAGUACAGAGGAGCACAGUUAAAAAAAUGUCAUCAAUUCAAAAUUAUGCCAGUAAGCCACCACAAAUAGUUGUAGAGAGCAGUGGCAUAUAAGCAGCCUGCUAUAUAAACAACAGUAAUUAUGCCUCAGUAUAUAAAACUGUCAUGAUGUAUUAUUAGUAGAGAGUAGUAGUACAGUUGCAGUAGAAAAGCAGUAGUAGUAGGAUUGGACAGUAAGCCACCACAAAUCAACACAAUUGGACAGUAAUGAUGCAUGCUGCAUUCACGGUUCUAAACUCGAGCAAACACAAACACUACUAAUUCUAAACUAAAAGCAUUGCAUUAAGUAGCUAAAAAAAUUCAGUGUUAAUGAUGCAUCAAAUCUCUACUACUAUCCAGAUCAUCAAAUCACAAUCUAUCAACAAUACACACUAAUAAAAACCCUAACACUAUCCAGAUCAUCAAAUCUCUCAGAUAGAAAUUAGACAGAACGAAUAGAUAGCUAUUAGCAAUUAACAUUAACCGCAGAUGCUUUCAACCAAAUCACAGAUUAUACACCAUUCUCAAAACAUAUGUAAUUUAUGAAUGCUUUACACACUAAACACUGAAUCUAUGAUAUACAAAACUGAUGUGGUAUGACACAGAAAUGAUAUUAGCAGAUAUCAAAUUCAUAGGUAUAGUAUUGGAUAAAUAUAAAACACAAUGUAGCUAAGAACUGAUGGAAUACAAUUUUGCAUGUCUCAAAUAUCACAAAUCCUACUGUUAAAGCACAAACAUUCAGUGUAUUCAGGAAAUUUGUGUGCAAUGGACAGAUAAUUACUAGACAGAUCCUACUAUUACACAUGCACACAAACAAAACCAUUUUCACAAGCACAUAAUAAGGUACAAAUAAAUAUAGAUAUAGAUAUACACUUGAAAAUGUUGAACGCAGCAGCAAUCCAAGACAUCAUGUCCAAAAGAUACUAAGAGUGAGGGAUGAGUAUUAGCAAACAAGACAUGUGGGUAUCAGAAAUUGUAAGAGAACCGCCCAAUUUACAAGAGAUCAACUACGAAAAACUCCCACCAAAGCAGUUGCUUUACCGUAAUCGAACUCUCAUAAACCCGGUAGUCCGUGAGAUCACGAGGGAUUUCAAACCAACCAACAUACCAGCCAAGAUCGUAGUGAUUCAACAUAACAAGUCACAUGUUACAUCCAUUUCACAAAUAGUUUGACAUACAUCUGAGUUCAAUAUAGUUAUUACAACUUAAGUUGAAAAGUAGCGGAAGCAAAGUAAUUUGAAACUAAUAUUGCCUUCAUUCCAAAUACAUGCCAGUAUCCAGGUCAAUUCCAACAAAAGCAGUAUAGAUGAGGUAACUAAGAAGGAUCAUGCCCAUGAUCUUACUCCUCUAGUAUGGUAGGAGUCAUCCAACUCUUGCAGUAGCCAUGAUACAUCACAACCUGCAACAUGUGGGAAUAAACCCUGAGUACAGGAAGGUACUCAGCUAGACUUACCCGUCAUAAACCAGAAAUAAUAUGACACCAAGGAGUAUGCAAGGCUUUAUUGGUGGAGCUAGCUUGACAAAACUUUUUGCAUAAAAAGCUUAAGUUGCGACUAAGUAACCUUUCAGGUAUUUAGCUCAAGUUAAUAAUCAUUAACCUGUCAUCUAGAUUAGCACCUGUACUAAAGCAUUCACUUGAUUAAGAUACAACCAUAGUACCCAUAUUUGAUGUGGCAUUUCCAACAUCAUCAUCAUACCAUAACCAUCCAAGUGCUCCAUAAACAUUACUACGAGGACGUGGCUCAAGUCAAGUGCUCACUAUCCAGGAGCGAUGGCGAUUCGAAUCGAUUUCUGACCAGCUGGCGAGUUAUUCCCUACACAAACCACACUCACUAAUCAAGUGAGCUACAGGUCACCAUAUUGCACUAUCCAGGACCAAUUCGCGGGUUCGGCAGGCACCACCAGUACCCGAGGACCGUUCUGGCGACCGAGGUAUCCAAGGUAUACCAAGGUUGCGCGCCGCGCCCUCGUCGUUCUCCUCAACCAUCACCAAUACAGCGCAUGGCGGCUCGACUCCCGGCCCGGAUAGUGUUCAGGCUUCGCGGUCGGAACGACUUAUCCUUCCAGCUAAGGUGGGGCAUGCGUUCAACAUGACAAGAGGGCCGUCAACGAUCGGUCCUUAAUCGACACAGGCGGGGAUAGAUAGGCACCCAAGACCUCCAUGUCUUGUUACUUCUCUAUCAUCGUCCCGCCGGCCUCCAAUUAUUCAUCCUCAUCACUUGAUCAUUUCCAUGAUAGCAUAUAUAGCCGACCUUUUCAGGUAUCCACCUAUCUCGCUCAGGUGACAGGACAUCACCUGGCUUCUACCGAUCUAAGCAUAGCUAAGCAUUUAGAUUCGAUCCUGAAUCUACAUAGGGUCAUAGGUAUAUUUACUGGACAAGGAGUGAUAUAUACAGCAAGGGUUUCACCCAACUCCUAUACUUAAUGCAACAAUACAUAUAUAACAUAUAUUCUCAAUUGCAUUCAAAAGUAGUGGGAGACUUAUAAUGCUCCGGGGCUUGCCUGGGAUCAACACUGAGUCAGUUCAGUUAGGUUCUCCAUCUUGAUGACAUCUUAGGUCGCAACACUUGCUUAGUCCUUCCACCUUGGGAUGGGUCCACCCAACACCGUCUUCGAGUUUGUUCCCACACCAAGACCUUCACGUGAUACAUCUAUCGCACCUAGAUGAGAUGCAAGAUGCAAGUGCAUGAAUAUGCGGAAUAGUGACACAACAUGCAUUACAUAAAAGUAUGCAGGACACAUGCCUCUAAGUUAUUUAACUAACAUCACAAAACCAAAUAUUUAGAAAACAUAUUAAUCACAACAUAAGUUUAACAAGUUUACAAGUGUAUUACUUAAUCACCGCUAAAGACAUGUAUCAUAGUUAGCACACAAAGUAAAGCAAUCAAGCAUUCAUGUAUUUCAGCAAUUCUGGACAUACAUGCAAUAACUCAGUAAAUAAAUCAUAACUGAAGUUACACAACUCCAAAAACUAUGCAAUAGGACAUUCUGGAAAGAUUAUCAAAUUUUCUACAAUUCAUCUUUAAUCAUAUUAGCAUGAUUAACAAGUUAACCAAGUCAAACAUGCAUGACCAUAUAAUCUGGUCCAGGUAUUUCCAGAGAACAAGCAUUUGAAAGGAUGAAAUUCAUACUACUGUAACUCACAAACCACUUAGCAAAAUGAUAUGAAACUUUACCACAAUAUAUAUUAGUAAAUUAUCUACAUAUUUUAUAUAGACAAGUUUCACAGCAAACAUAAUUUAUAUCAUGGUAUUAAUUGCAUAAAUAAAACUGCUCAUGCUGCCAAACAGUAGAAGUACAAUUACAACAGAAAACUGAUAGGCAAUUCAAGGAAGCAUAACUGGAGUUUUAGAACUCCAGCAAACAUGAUUCUUAUAUUUUUGGAAAGCUUAUAAAGUUACCUACAACUUUCUUAUUAUCAUCUAAAUAUGAAUCUAGAGUUAACAAGGUCAAUUAAUCCCAUAAAGACAUCUCUGUCUAAAACAUAGACAGAAUCUGUCAUGCUACAUUAAACAGCUCUAACUUGAGGUUAACAUGUCCAUAAUUUAUGAUUGUGUACUUUCUAGAAAGCUUACUAAAUUGUGAACAACUUUGUUAUAAACAUCUAUAGCCAAAUCUACCACUAACAAGGCCUUACAUUACAAACAAUGCAAUCCUGUCUGGGUUUAGACAGAAACUGGAACAGUAAUUUAAACCACUAUAACUAAACAUGUGCUUAUCCUAAAAUUGUGCUAUUUACCUCUUUGGAAAGCCCAUUAAAAGUACUAAAACUUAUAUAUUUUCAUCCAGGCAAGAUUCACAACUUAACUGAGCCAAACAAUACAAACAUGCAGAUCCACUCAGAAUAGGAGCAAAGCAACACAGGGCAUUUGUUAUUUUUAUAACUCUUAGUCUAUCAAUCCUAAAUUGAUGAAACUUUUACCAGACAUCAAAUCUCAUAUGAAACGUAUGUCACAAUAUUUUCACAUUUAUUGGAGCAAUACUACAGCAGUUAUAAAAAAGACAAAUAUAGCAAGCAAUGAAAACCUAACUGCAUAAAUCUAUUUUUACGACUAAAAUUACAAACUAAACCAUGUCAUAUUAUAGAUCCACUGCAUAGACAAUUUCACAAGGAUCACAAAAAGUCCACAUUUGCUAUUUUACGAUUUUUCUACAAUUUAUGAUGAUUUUCCAAACUUCAGCCAUAUGAAGGAAAAACAGAUUUGCACAGAGACCCUUAAGUUAUCCGCAAAACAAACUACAACCGAGAGGUCCCUGUAGGUACUAUUCACAUGUGUCAUGACUUCACAUCUGGGCCCCUCACUUUUGUCCAAUUCGAGCCCGAGGUCCCUGGUCGCGAACAGAACAGGGGAGACUCGCCGGAGCUUCCUGUUCCGGCCUGUCGGAGCCUCGUCGGCGGCGAUGGAGGGGUGGGGAAGCAUCACGGCAAUGAGCCGCAGCCGUAGGUGGCCACGGCUCGGCCAAAGGUGGCCCGUGGCGGUCCGGCCACGCACGCACACCGACGGCGGCGGCGGCGGUGGCACGCCGGCGACCACGGCGACGGAUUCGGACGGCGAGCGCGAGCACGAGAUGUAGGAGAUGGAGGCGAAGCUACGGACAUUGAGGAGGUCCGGAGCAGCGAGAACGCGGCGGCAGGAGCUUCCACGGCGGCCAUGGCGACGGCGCGAGCAGCAGGGCGAGCACCGAGCGAAGGAGGAGCGAGCGAGGGUAGAGAGUGAGAGCAGGGAGGAGUAGGGAGUUCAGCGCCCACUUCUGGAUGCGCUGGGAGCAGGGCAGCGCGUGGCAAUGGAGGUGGGGGCGCCCAGCUUUCAUGGAGGACGCGUCGACAUUUCGUCGAGCACGUGGCGGGCAGUGAAGUGGCCGGUGUGGGAGGCGAUUUUGUGCUUUUUCCGGGCUGAAUUGGACCUUGGGCCAAAAACGAAGUUUGCCCACCUCGGUCUGCUCUCCAACUUUGAUUAAGUGAUCAUGGUCAUUAGACCAACAGAUUAAGAGAUAAUUAGAUGCCAAUUCCCGAGUGUCAACGUAUUGACGGCGAUUAGGAAAACCAAGAAUUGAUGGUCCAAACCAUGUCAAACUUGAUGCAACUUUUUACAUAACCUUCUUCAAACAAUUAUCCACAACUUUUACUUUUGGACCAACUUGAGUUGCUUAACAAAAACACGAGAACGCGGCAUGCCAACGGGUCGACGUCCGUUUAGCGAUAAAUUAAUCUUUUGCUGUUUUGGGAGCUAUGUUUGAACAUACAAAUGAACUCCAAAUUUGAUGAUACUUAAUCCAUUGAUUCCAUCAAGAAGAGUACUCCAACUCAUAUUAAGGAAUCUAAUUGAGUUACCAUAUGAAUUUGAAUAAUAAAAUGUCACAAAGAAGCUAACUUGCUGCUGUCACUUUCCUGGGACUUAGAAUUAUUUCUCAGGGAUAAAAAGCAGCAGCUGAGUCGAACUUGGAGCCUCUGUUUGAACUAUUUGCAUGCUGAUUUGGUUCUUUACCCUUGAAUAAAGUUUCUUCUACAGAAGCAAAACUACAACUUUCAUUUAGGGUCAAACCUCAUAACUGCAACAUAAGUCAAUCUUUCACUUUGGUCAAAGCAGUAACCCGAUAAAGCUCCAAACAGGGUUUUAGGCCAAUUGAAGCAUUUUCUUGACAUAAGCUCAACAUGAACCCUUCAUGACUUUUGUUGUAUAAUUCAUCUAGAGUCAUAUGUGCAAGUUUGGAAGGUUUGGUUCAUGACCCAUGAUUCUAUUUCCUUAAUAGAGUCAUUCCAACAAGGAUCUAACUUAUCAUUUCAUGUGACUUCUUGAUUCCAAACUUCACUAAACUUUUCCAGCGACCAACAUAGAUUGGGAUAGAUAUAAUACACAUGGAAAAGGUUCCACUAGCAUCAUCAAAGCAUACCUUUUAAAAUGGCAUAUAUGCAAGCAAGGUUGCAUCCACCAAGCCCAAGUUGGGGUUUACUUUCAUAGAUUGACUUUGACCUCUUUAUUACCAUUGAACUUGUCAUGUUUGAAUUCAAACCUAGUACUUAGCAAGUGACAAACACCUGGGGUGUUACAGCCUUCCCCCCUUAAAAGAAUCUCGUCCCAAGAUUCGGUGCAAAAGACAUUCAAGGGAAGAAAACAAUGUCACGCAUUUUCCAACAUUAGCAAUAGCAGUGGGCGACUUAGCUUAGAACAUCAGAGGAGCUAACUUGAUCCAAACAUUUUCUGAUACUUGCCCUUCAUAGUAAACCUUUAUCUAGAGAAUCUCCCUUUUUGUUUGACUUCAAUAAAGAACUGUUACUUUGGGAGGAAUCCAAGACAACACUGUUCCAUGUACUUUGUUUCUGGUUGUUUAGAGCCUAAGGAGCUACUUGUACCAUUAGCUUCUUUAGUGAAACUAAUGCAAGCCAUACGAACUUCACACCACUUCACAAGCUUCUAAGGGUUGCGCAUUAUAGUGAUUCCAGGCUCAUUCACAAGAUUUGAAAAGCAGUCCUCUACCAAAAUGGUUGGAGUGUAACUUUCCAUGCAUGCAGUUCUCUUUCUCUAAUGACAACAUUGUACUUACCACCUCGUUAAGAGAACGGUGAAUGUGAUAGCUGACUUUGUUGGUUUCAUGCCUUCCAUGAUCAUUUACUUUAAGGGAAUUCUUGUAUCCAAACAACAAAAGUUAUCUGGGUCAGAUCAGAUGUAACUUCUUGGGCAAUACAUAGAAGGUAACGAAGGCAUGUAAGAAUUGGAUAACCACUACUGACAAAGGAUGAUAGUGGGGCCUAUAGGUCUUCAACUGUUGCAAGUGUUCAACCAACUAAAGAAAUAGUUUACCACCAAGUAGGUUAAGCAUGACCUUUCUUCAUGAUGCAGUUGCAUAAGAGUUAGGUUGACUUGUACCAUAGAAAAACCAAUCCAAGGGAACUACUUUUGCUUUUGAGGUUUCCUUUUUAAGAUCAGUCAGUAGCUCUGGUAAUGAAAAUCUAUUGAUUGACACCUUUCCAAAUGUUUCUGGCUCACACUGGCACAAAUGGGUACAAAGAAUCUUGUUUCAUCAUAUAAGCACUAUCUAUACAGCAACACAUUGCCCAUAUUGUAAUCCAUUGCACCAAAACAAACACCACUCACAUUUCCAUGAAAUUUGGUAGAAUUAUUGAUCCAUGAGUCUUCCAACCUUUGAUCAAAAUUCAGCUCAAUCGGGCACCAUUUGUGUAGGUAUAACAUAUACAUACUAAACUUGUUCGAUGCUGAAACGGCAGUGUUCCGGACUGACAAGACAUCUCUCAUCUCUAAAGAUUGAUUCACUAGUUGAUGAAAUAUAUCCUUCAUGGCUAUCAAUCCAUCGUUUCCUUGCUUGAGAUUAGCUUUGUUACUAGCAACCAAUCAAUUGGCUCUCAGCACUAAAAAUUCCAAAGCUCCACACUUAACCACAACAACUGCGGUUGAUGCUUUAACAAUUGGUCACCUCCAAAACCAGGAGAUAAGGAUUCACGCUAAAGAUGGUUGACCUUAGCCGUAUGACCAUGAUGCUUAUAAAGAUCAAGACUUAGUAAAACUAGAUCAUAAGCACAAUGGUGAUGAUCAAUGCUUGCUCAAUAGAUAACUUGUCCAUCGUUAGGUGUCGUGUGUCCUUUUGGUUCAGCGUGGAUGACCAAUGUUGCUCAUUAAAUGGCUAUCAUCAUUGCAGGAAUAGUUAAAUAGUGUCACUUGUCUACCAUCUCUUGCAGUCUGUUAAUGUUUAUGUCAGUGACCCAUUCUUCAAGAUAAUCCUCUUUGUAACUUCAUAGGAAGUUCUCUUACUUGCACGUGAGGUAAGGAUCUUCUGAUCAAAUCUGGAUAUAAUUAAGGACAAACUCAUGAUGAGAUGACACAUUGGUGUAGUUCUGUAAUAGAGCCUGGCUAGCAGUCAACGAUACCAGUGCGUGCCGAGCAGCACAACCAUGUGUCGGCCGCCACAAGGGGCUCUCGGUUUCGUCACGGCACCAUCAAUCAUUAACCAAGACACCAUUACCGAACAUACAAUCCAAAAGAAAUCUCUCAUGGCAAAAAUUGAGUUGCAUAGCAGCGAGCACUUUGCAAAAGAGGGGUAUCAAACUGAGAUAGUCAUGAGAUUAGAGGUCCACAAGGAGGUGAUUUAAAGAUUAAACAUAGUACUAGAGAACAUAGAUCACAUGAGAUUAAGACGGAUAAACACCCAGAGACUCAAGAGAGUUGGAGAUAAAACGAUUGAGAUUUGAAAGAUUGAGUCAAUACACAGAUUAGGGGAUGGAUACACAACGUUCAAUAGCUAACAACCAUGCAUAAACUCAAGCUCUUUAUCAUUGGAAUCUACUUGGAGAUAACCAUGAGAUUAAAGUGACAUGAGUGUUAUUCUAAGAUAAGGCUCUUCAACACUCGCAUGCUUACUAAGGACAAAAAGGUAACAACUAUGACACUACCUAGUUAACCACAUCUACUCAUGUAUCAUAGUUUUAAGCAAACAUGUGGCAACAUCAAUCACACUAUCUCCAACAAUCAUUACUAAGCACAAAGUUUUGCAGAUAACAAGUAGUCAUCUAAAGCAACACUAGUACACAUGAACAUACAAAACAUGAUGGUACGGUGUUUUUAUCAUUUACUUUCUUUUACUAGAAAGGUGUAUGUCUCUUCUCUAGUCAUGAAAACAAAUUUUUAACUUAUGCUUAAAAGACUAGUCAUCUUAGAGAUGUGCAUCAUACUGACAGGGUGCACGAAUCAACCACAACACGGGCAAAACAAAGCUAAUCACACCCUACCUUCAAUUAUAGCUAUUCAAGCAACAUGGACCAAAGUAUUUUAUCUAACUGCACACAAUCAAGGUGACACACAUUGAUUCACAUGUUACUUAUUGUUAGAACAAGGUGAGAGAAGCAUAGUUAUACAUAACACAACAAUUAUGAUGAUGCAUGCUUCGUCCUAUUCGUUCUCACAAAAUUGCCAGCAUAAGGUGGCAAUCACGUUCUAUGUUGGUGGCAUAAUACGUACACUCUCGACAUAUAACUAGUCGUAAGCUAUAUUCAGUUUACGUAUUCAUGGUUAGCAUACCUGCAGAAAACUCAUUUCAGCCCACCCACAGUAUGAAACAUGCAGUACAAGAUUUAAAAGCUAUGCGCUCCACACACGUGUAUCCCCAUACCCGUAUGUGUAGUGCUACUACCCACAUCAUCGUCCUAGCGACGGCAUCGCCUCUAAGGACGGAAUCACCCAUCAUGCGAUACCUUUUCACAGGCACAUGUAAAAUGUGCACAUGAUCCAGUACCAAAAGCACUUCCCUAGAUCGGCGGUGUAUCCGAUCAUGCUCUCACAGCUCACACUUAACGAGGCGUAGAGGAAAAAAAUGAUCCACGCAUUACCAUUCAAGCGAAUGGCACUCAUACUAUUACACGCCGUAUGAGCAACGAAAUAGAAAUAUGAUGCAUAAACCCCCAAGUCAGUACUUAAAUAAGCCACCUAAAGGUCCUUAUUUGGGCAUAAAGGAAAUGACCAUUGGCAUACUUAGGUAAAACCUUUUCAGAUUUGGACACACCUAUAUCUAUAGUAGCUAUAAGCUAUCAAAAGCUAAUUUUAGAAAACAAAAUCUUUUGUUUAAAAUACACAUAUGACAAGUUUAAUGUUGAAUCUUGCUUUGAUACCAGCUGUAACAGAACCGCCCAAUUUACAAGCAACUACGAAAAACUCCCGCCAAAGCAGUUGCUUUACCGUAAUCGAACUCUCAUAAACCCGGUAGUCCGUGAGAUCACGAGGGAUUUCAAACCAACCAACAUACCAGCCAAGAUCGUAGUGAUUCAACAUAACAAGUCACAUGUUACAUCCAUUUCACAAAUAGUUUGACAUACAUCUGAGUUGAAUAUAGUUAUUACAACUUAAGUUGAAAAGUAGCGGAAGCAAAGUAAUUUGAAACUAAUUUUGCCCUCAUUUCAAAUACAUGCCAGUAUCCAGGUCAAUUCCAACAAAAGCAGUAUAGAUGAGGUAACUAAGAAGGAUCAUGCCAUGAUCUUACUCCUCUAGUAUGGUAGGAGUCAUCCAACUCUUGCAGUAGCCAUGAUACAUCACAACCUGCAACAAGUGGGAAUAAACCCUGAGUACAAGAAGGUACUCAGCUAGACUUACUCGUCAUAAACCAGAAAUAAUAUGACACCAAGGAGUAUGCAAGGCUUUAUUGGUGGAGCUAGCUUGACAACACUUUUUGCAUAAAAAGCUUAAGUUGCGACUAAGUAACCUUUUAGGUAUUUAGCUCAAGUUAAUAAUCAUUAACCUGUCAUCUAGAUUAGCACCUGUACUAAAGCAAUCACUUGAUUAAGAUACAACCAUAGUACCCAUAUUUGAUGUGGCAUUUCCAACAUCAUCAUCAUACCAUAACCAUCCAAGUGUUCCAUAAACAUUACUACGAGGACGUGGCUCAAGUCAAGUGCUCACUAUCCAGGAGCGAUGGCGAUUCGAAUCGAUUUCUGACCAGCUGGCGAGUUAUUCCCCACACAAACCACACUCACUGAUCAAGUGAGCUACAGGUCACCAUAUUGCACUAUCCAGGACCAAUUCGCGGGUUCGGCAGGCACCACCAGUACCCGAGGACCGUUCCGGCGACCGAGGUAUCCAAGGUAUACCAAGGUUGCGCGCCGCGCCCUCGUCGUUCUCCUCAACCAUCACCAAUACAGCGCAUGGCGGCUCGACUCCCGGCCCGGAUAGUGUUCAGGCUUCGCGGUCGGAACGACUUAUCCUUCCAGCUAAGUGUGGGGCAUGCGUUCAACAUGACAAGAGGGCCGUAAACGAUCGGUCCUUAAUCGACACAGGCGGGGAUAGAUAGGCACCCAAGACCUCCAUGUCUUGUUACUUCUCUAUCAUCGUCCCGCCCGGUCUCCAAUUAUUCAUCCUCAUCACUUGGUCAUUUCCAUGAUAGCAUAUAUAGCCGACCUUUUCAGGUAUCCACCUAUCUCGCUCAGGUGACAGGACAUCACCUAGCUUCUACCGAUCUAAGCAUAGCUAAGCAUUUAGAUUCGAUCCUGAAUCUACAUAGGGUCAUAGGUAUAUUUACUGGACAAAGAGUGAUAUAUGCAGCAAGGGUUUCACCCAACUCCUAUACUUAAUGCAACAAUACAUAUAUAACAUAUAUUCUCAAUUGCAUUCAAAAGUAGUGGGAGACUUAUAAUGCUCCGGGGCUUGCCUGGGAUCAACACUGAGUCGGUUCAGUUAGUUGCUCCAUCUUGAUGACAUCUUAGGUCGCAACACUUGCUUAGUCCUUCCACCUUCGGGAUGGGUCCACCCAACACCGUCUUCGAGUUUGUUCCCACACCAAGACCUUCACGUGAUACAUCUAUCACACCUAGAUGAGAUGCAAGAUGCAAGUGCAUGAAUAUGCGGAAUAGUGACACAACAUGCAUUACAUAAAAGUAUGCAAGACACAUGCCUCUAAGUUAUUUAACUAAAAUCUCAAAACCAAAUAUUUAGAAAACAUAUUAAUCACAACAUAAGUUUAACAAGUUUACAAGUGUAUUACUUAAUCACCGCUAAAGACAUGUAUCAUAGUUAGCACACAAAGUAAAGCAAUCAAGCAUUCAUGUAUUUCAGCAAUUCUGGACAUACAUGCAACAACUCAGUAAAUAAAUCAUAACUGGAGUUACACAACUCCAAAAACUAUGCAAUAGGACAUUCUGGAAAGAUUAUCAAAUUAUCUACAAUUCAUCUUUAAUCAUAUUAGCAUGAUUAACAAGUUAACCAAGUCAAACAUGCAUGACCAUAUAAUCUGGUCCAGGUAUUUCCAGAGAACAAGCAUUUUAAAGAAUGAAAUUCAUACUACUGUAACUCACAAACCACUUAGCAAAAUGAUAUGAAACUUUACCACAAUAUAUAUUAGUAAUUUAUCUACAUAUUUUAUAUAGACAAGUUUCACAGCAAACAUAAUUUAUAUCAUGGUAUUAAUUGCAUAAAUAAAACUGCUCAUGCUGCCAAACAGUAGAAGUACAAUUACAACAGAAAACUGAUAGGCAAUUCAAGGAAGCAUAACUGGAGUUGUAGAACUCCAGCAAACAUGAUUCUUAUAUUUUUGGAAACCUUAUAAAGUCACCUACAACUUUCUUAUUAUCAUCUAAAUAUGAAUCUAGAGUUAACAAGGUCAAUUAAUCCCAUAAAGACAUCUCUGUCUAAAACAUAGACAGAAUCUGUCAUGCUACAUUAAACAGCUCUAACUUGAGGUUCACAUGUCCAUAAUUUAUGAUUGUGUACUUUCUAGAAAGCUUACUAAAUUGUGAACAACUUUUUUAUAAACAUCUAGAGCUAAAUCUACCACUAACAAGGCCUUACAUUACAAACAAUGCAAUCCUGUCUGGGUUUAGACAGAAACUGGAACAGUAAUUUAAACCACUAUAACUAAACAUGUACUUAUCCUAAAAUUGUGCUAUUUACCUUUUUGGAAAGCCCAUGAAAAGUACUAAAACUUAUAUAUUUUCAUCCAGGCAAGAUUCACAACUUAACUGAGCCAAACAAUACAAACAUGCAGAUCCACUCAGAAUAGGAGCAAAGAAACAUAGGGCAUUUUUUAUUUUUAUAACUCUUAAUCUAUCAAUCCCAAAUUGAUGAAACUUUUACCAGACAUCAAAUCUCAUAUGAAACGUUUGUCACAAUAUUUUCACAUUUAUUGGAGCAAUACUACAGCAUUUAUAAAAAAGACAAAUAUAGCAAGCAAUGAAAACCUAACUGCAUAAAUCUAUUUUUACGACUAAAAUUACGAACUAAACCAUGUCAUAUUAUAGAUCCACUGCAUAGACAAUUUCACAAGGAUCCCAAAAAAGUCCACAUUUGCUUUUUUACGAUUUUUCUACAAUUUAUGAUGAUUUUCCAAACUUCAGCCAUAUGAAGGAAAAACAGAUUUGCACAGAGACCCUUAAGUUAUCCGCAAAACAAACUACAACCGAAAGGUCCCUGUAGGUACUAUUCACAUGUGUCAUGACUUCACAUCUGGACCCCUCACUUUUGUCGAAUUCGAGCCCGAGGUGCCUGGUCGCGAACAGAACAGGGGAGACUCGCCGGAGCUUUCUGUUCCGGCCCGUCGGAGCCUCGUCGGCGGCGAUGGAGGGGUGGGGAAGCAUCACGGCAAUGAGCUGCACCCCUAGGUGGCCACGGCUCGGCCAAAGGUGGCCCGUGGCGGUCCGGCCACGCACGCACACCGACGGCGGUGGCGGCGGUGGCACGCCGGCGACCACGGCGACGGAUUCGGACGGCGAGCGCGAGCACGAGAUGUAGGAGAUGGAGGCGAAGCUACGGACGGCGCUUGCAGGGAGUGAGGAGGUCCGGAGCAGCGAGAACGCGGCGGCAGGAGCUUCCACGGCGGCCAUGGCGACGGCGCAAGCAGCAGGGCGAGCACCGAGCGAAGGAGGAGCGAGCGAGGGUAGAGAGUGAGAGCAGAGAGGAGUAGGGAGUUCAGCGCCCACUUCUGGAUGCACUGGGAGCAGGGCAGCGCGUGGCAAUGGAGGUGGGGGCGCCCAGCUUGCAUGGAGGACGCGUCGACAUUUCGUCGAGCACGUGGCGGGCAGUGAAGUGGCCGGCGUGGGAGGCGAUUUUGUGCCUUUUCCGGGCUGAAUUGGACCUUGGGCCAAAAACGAAGUUUGCUCACCUCGGCCUGCUCUCCAACUUUUAUUAAGUGACCAUGGUCAUUAGACCAACAGAUUAAGAUAUAAUUAGAUGCCAAUUCCCGAGUGUCAACGUAUUGACGGUGAUUAGGAAAACCAAGAAUUGAUGGUCCAAACCAUGUCAAACUUGAUGCAACUUUUUACAUAACCUUCUCCAAACAAUUAUUCACAAGUUUUACUUUUGGACCAACUUGAGUUGCUUAACAAAAACACGAGAACGCGGCAUGCCAACGGGUCCACGUCCGUUUAGCGAUAAAUUAAUCUUUUGCUGUAUUGGGAGCUAUGUUUGAACAUACAAAUGAACUCCAAAUUUGAUGAUACUUAAUCCAUUGAUUCCAUCAAGAAGAGUACUCCAACUCAUAUUAAGGAAUCUAAUUGAGUUACCAUAUGAAUUUGAAUAAUAAAAUGUCACAAAAAGCUAACUUGCUGCUGUCACUUUCCUGGGACUUAGAAUUAUUUCUCAGGGAUAAAAAGCAGUAGCUGAUUCGAACUUGGAGCCUCUGUUUGGACUAUUUGCAUGCUGAUUUGGUUCUUUACCCCUGAAUAAAGUUUCUUCUACAGAAGCACAACUACAACUUUCAUUUAGGGUCAAACCUCAUAACUGUAACAUAAGUCAAUCUUUCACUUUGGUCAAAGCAGUAACCCGAUAAAGCUCCAAACAGGGUUUUAGGCCAAUUGAAGCAUUUUCUUGACAUAAGCUCAACAUGAACCCUUCAUGACUUUUGUUGUAUAAUUCAUCUAGAGUCAUAUGAGCAAGUUUGGAAGGUUUGGUUCAUGACCCAUGAUUCUAUUUCCUUAAUAGAGUCAUUCCAACAAGGAUCUAACUUAUCAUUUCAUGUGACUUCUUGAUUCCAAACUUCACCAAACUUUUCCAGCGACCAACAUAGAUUGGGAUGGAUAUAAGACACAUGGAAAAGGUUCCACUAGCAUCAUCAAAUCAUACCUUUUAAAAUGGCAUAUAUGCAAGCAAGGUUGCAUCCACCAAGCCCAAGUUGGGGUUUACUUUCAUAGAUUGACUUUGACCUCUUUAUUACCAUUGAACUUGUCAUGUUUGAACUCAAACCUAGUACUUAGCAAGUGACAAACACCUGGGGUGUUAUAGAAAUCAAGACAUAUCUCACAGAUAAUCACAUAGACACCACCUGUGACCCGCCACAAUUCCCAGUAUGAAUAGCCAAGCAGAUUCGUAAUUCAAUAAUGUUCUAAACAAAAAUGAGUAGCAGCUAGGGUUCAACCGUUACGCUUCUAGGGUUCCCAAAAUGAGCAAACACAAAAAUGUUCUAAACAAUAAUAAACAUCAGGCGAAUUCAACAGUUACGCUUCUAGGGUUCUCAAACCUUGGGGAACUAACACAGAUGCGGAAUCAGACAUGACACUGGAUCAGAGAGUUUGGGGUUACCUGCGCCGGAACGAGAUGAGAUCAGUCACGCGCGUUUGUGUGGUGUUGGAGGCGACAGGAAGAAGACACGGGCGGGCAAGUCACCACGUGUGGAGCUCCGGCCCACCAACGGCGUCUAGGGUUCGCGGACCGAGCAGGUCGCCAAGGUUGUGGAAGGAGCAGGUCGCCAAGCUCGCGGAAGAAGAGGGGCGACGGUGGUCCCCGGCUCGUGGACGCGCGCGGGCGGUCCGCCGUGCACGGAUCUCUGGCUCCCGGUGGCGGCUAGGGUUCUGAAGGGCCGGUGACGUGUAGCGGAGUGGUGCGUGGCAUGGGGACCGACGAAGGGGGGGAGGAGAGCUCGGGGAGUGGAGGAGGCGGAGGCGAGGGGGGAGGAGUGCUCGCGGCUGUGGCUGCGGCGGCGCCGGCGGGCGAGUUUGGCAGCCUGGCGGCGGCAUAAGAAGAAGAGAGUCAUGCCCAGACUUAGCCGAAUAACCCUAGUGGCGGCGGCCACUAUUUAUUUAGGGCACGAACACCGUAAGGGCGGUUGAGGUCUAGAACCGCCCUAACAGUGGUUUUUUUUUUCAGAAUUUUAAUAUUUUUAAAUAAAAUAGAUUUAAACAAUUGUACAAUUUAUACUUAACCUUUAAAAUAUAUUUAUAAAAUAAAUUUAAACUAUUGUAUUUUUUUAAUUGAUUUAUCUAUAUGAAGUGUAUAAUUUUGAACUAUUCCAUGUUUUUUAAAAAAAAUAAAAAUCAAAUGUUUUUAGAAAUAACUAUUCCAUGUCCUAUGUAUGGAAUGUGUAUCUUGAUGAGCUCUAUCUACCUUGUAUUCAAAAGUUUUUCAUUUGAGGUCAUUUACUCACUCGUUUGACCAGGUUUGACUAAGCCACGCCUUGGGUUUUCAAAACAUGUCAACUGAGUUUUCUGUAACUUUUCCAAAUGCAAAAAUGUAUUGUGUAUCAAAGGUAGACCUUGAUGAGAUCUAACUAUGUUGUAUUCAAUUUGUUUUCAUUUGAGGUCUUUUAUUGCCUAGUUUGACCUAGUUUGACCAAGUCAAACAUUGGAUUUUUUAGAAAAUACACUUUGACCGGAUCCGGGAUGGUCUCAGAUGCAAAAGUCAUGAAUACAAAGUUUGUUCCCCUUAUCAAGAUACACAUUUGUUGUAAUGGUCAACUUUUCAUCUGAGAUGGUUUGGACCACUAAAAUUUUGAAAUUUCAAAUUUUCACUGCUACACGCACGUUUUCGGGACCCUAGACGGCCCCAACUCCGAAAGUCAUGAAUAGCAACUUUGUUCCACUCAUCAAGAUCUACAUUUGAUAUAUAGGACAUUUUUGCAUUUGACAAAGCGUUAAGAAAGUGCAGUUCUAAAUCCACAAGUCCCGCAUGUAGUUUCAUAAAGUCUAUGUGUGAUUCAAGACUUUGUGACUAGAGUUUACAAAAACUUUCUCAAAUGCAAAAAUGUCCUAUGUAUGGAAUGUGUAUCUUGAUGAUCUCUAUCUACCUUGUAUUCAAAAGUUUUUCAUUUGAGGUCAUUUACUCACUCGUUUGACCACGUUUAACCAAGCCACGCCUCGGGUUUCAAAACAUGUGAACUGAGUUUUCUGUAGCUUUUCCAAAUGCAAAAAUGUAUUGUGUAUCAAAGGUAGACCUUGAUGAGAUCUAACUAUGUUGUAUUCAAUUUUUUUUCAUUUGAGGUCUUUUAUUGCCUAGUUUGACCCAGUUUGACCAAGUCAAACAUUGGAUUUUUUAGAAAAUACACUUUGACCGGAUCCGAGAUGGUCUCAGAUGCACAAGUCAUGAAUACAAAGUUUGUUCCCCUUAUCAAGAUACACAUCUGUUGUAAUGGUCAACUUUUCAUCUGAGAUGGUUUGGACCACUAAAAUUUUGAAAUUUCAAAUUUUCACUGCUACACGCACAUUUUCGAGACCCUAGACGGCCCCAACUCUGGAAGUCAUGAAUAGCAAUUUUGUUCCACUCAUCAAGAUCUACAUUUGAUAUAUAGGACAUUUUUGCAUUUGACAAAGCGUUAAGAAAUGUAGUCUCACACACAUACAUAAAUGUAGUCUCACACACAUACAUAAAUGUAGUCUCACAUGGAUACAUAAAUGUAGUCUCACACACAUACAUAAAUGUAGUCUCACACGCAUACAUAAAUGUAGUCUCACAUGGAUAUAUAAAUAAAGUCUCACACACAUACAAAUGACUAUUUAUUAGUAUCUGCCGCCGUAACAGUUUUCCACUUCACACCUUUUCGUUCCCAUGGCAAUACAUCUUUGGGUAGGUUUUUUUCCACAACAUCGAUCUUGUUAAUAAAGUCUGUGAAUAGCGGCAUCUGAUCGCACUUAUUGUAGGCUUCAACAUCAUCAACGCCAUCAACUCCGAUAAUGUGUUGUUUUCCAGGGAUAACCACAUGCUUAGGUUGCUUCUUUGGGGGGACAAUGCUGAGCGGGUCGGUCAUAUAGAAAACCUGUGUAACAUGUGAAGCAAGGACCCAUGGAUCAUCCUGGUAGCCUAUGUUGUGAAGGUCCACGACCCUCAAUCUGAUUUCAUUGAAUUCAUGUUGCUUGAUCCAGCGACAUCGAAAUAGGGCCACAUUUAGUGCCUCAGUUCCAUAGUCAAGUUCCCAUAUAUCUUCAAUAUGCCAAAGUAGUCGAUCUUUUGUCCCCCUGCGCCGAUAGCCACUGCUCGAACACCACUGUUUUGGUUCACACAUUUACUAUCCUUUGCGUGGGUAUAGUAUGUGUACCCAUUGAUCUCAUAAGAACUCCAAGAUGUCACCUGUCUUGAUGGCCCCACUGCGAACUUACUGAUGGUAAUAGAAUCUAUGGUUUCUCCAAGCUGUAUGUUUUGGUCCUUCAACCCUGAAGUUAGGCAUUGCUUGUGUUGUUUCAUGACCCAAUCACCUGUACGACCAUUUCUCUCUGAUUGGAUGAUCUCCAUGUGUUCAUCAAUAUAUGAUUCCAUCAGUUUUGUGCUCACCAAGACAGCGUAGUGCGCCCGACUCACUUCAGCGUAUUCCUUGUCGAUGAAGAUUUUUCUACCAUUUGUGCCCUUCCCGGCCAGCCUACCCUUGUAGUGAGAAUCGGGAAUACCAAUCGCUGUCUGUACUUUUAGGUACUCUUAACAGCACUCGAUGACUUCUUCACUACUGUAGCCCUCUAUCAUAGAGCCCUCUGGGUAUGCACGAUUAUGCACAUAUCAAAUUAGAACCGACAUGAACCGCUCAUACGACCACAUUUCAUGCAAGUAGCAAGGGCCCAACGCCUGUAUCUGAUGAACCAUGUGAAUCAUGAGAUGUACCAUAGGGUCAAAGAAAGCGGGAGGUAAACACAUCUCUAGUUGGUUUUGGGUCUCUAUGACAAAAUCAUGUAGGUCACUCAGCUCUGUCUUGUUAAUCUUCUUCUGUGAGAUCUUCGACCAGAAGUAGCACAUGCGGGUGAUAGCCAUCUUUAAAAACUCUAGCUUGAUAGCCCUUAUUGCGAUUGGUAGGAACACCGUCAGCAUCAUAUGACAAUCGUGAGCCUUGCAGUGUGGAAAUGAUAGGUCCUUCAUCGACACUAGCUUCUUCGGGUUUGCCGAAAACCCAGUCGGGACUUUGAUCCCCUUCACAGAAGUGCAUAAACCUCUCCUCUCUUCUAGGUCCAGGUUGUAGCUAGCCGCGGGUAGGGUGUAUUUUCCAGUUUUUGUCUCAAGUACCGGGUGAAGCUCUGGCAUCACAUGUAGUUGCUCCAUGUCUCUCCUUGCUUUGAGACUAUCCAUUGACUUCGGAGUGUCCAUCAAGGUAGCAAUGAGACUCUCAAAGACAUUCUUCUGCACAUGCAUAGCAUGAAUGGCAUGGGGGACCUCCAAUUGUGGCCAAUAUUCAAGAUACUAAAAGAAGAUUGACUUUUUCUUAAAAGGAACGCCUUCAAUAGGAGGUGUGCUUCUAUCUCUAGGUGUUCCAUCCAUUUUCUUCUUUCCAUAGAUGACGCUUAUAUUUUUCACCAUUUGGAACACAUAUUGUCCAUCAUGACGUCUCUCCGGAGGUCGAUCUUCAUCCUCUGGGAUGUUGCCAAAAUACUUUAAGUACAGUUUGCUACGGUACUUGUGACCUUGCUUUAAAAACGACGAUUCCUGAUGUAAACAGUCUUCUUAGAUCCAUCUAGGUACACCCAUUUAGUAUCAUCCAGACAGACUAAGCAUCCUGUCUUGCCUUUGAUUUGUCCAGACAAGGCAAACAAUGCAGGGUGGUCGUUGAUAGUCACAAAUAUUAUUGCUCUUAAAGUGAAGGUCUCCUUUUGGAAAGCAUCAUACAUCAGCUCCCCUGUCCUCCAAAGUUUCUCGAAUUCUUCCAUCACAGGCUCGAGGAACACGUCCAUAUCAAAGCCUGGUUGCUGAGGGCCAGAAACAAGAACAGUGAGGAAAAGAUACUUUCUCUUCUGACACAACCACGUUGGAUGUUGUACAUGGUCAAGAUCACUGGCCAAGUGCUAUGGUUGCUCGUCCUCUCGUUGAAGGGAUUCAUUCCAUCGGUGCUCACGGCAAACCGUACAUUCUUUGGGUCCGAACUGCACAGUGGGUUGUUAUUAUCAAAGUCCUGCCACUGACUGCCAUCGGCCGGGUGUGCAAUCACAUCGUCAUCGACCUUGCGCUUAUCGUCCCACCAUGUCAUGAGCGCGGCUUCCUUAGGGUUCAGGAAAAUACGCUUCAAGCGAUUAGUCACUGGCAGAUACCACAUUACCAAGGCAGGAAUUUUUCUCUUCUUUGCGUCGUUGCCUAAUGGGGUGUCCUCUGGAGGUCGAGAUUCUUGUACCACCUUUUUGGAACCCUUCUUACUCCUGUUGUUCCUGGUGGAGGCUUCUCCGCCACUGUAAAGGUCAUUGUCCUUGUACCGACUUGCCCCACAACGAGGACAUUUAUCUAGACCUUCGAACGUUUCACCACGAAAAAGGAUACAAUGGUUGGGGCAUGCAUGGAUCUUUUCAACACCCAUUGUUAAUGGACUUAUGACCUUCUUAGCAUGGUAUGUGUUGGAGGGAACUAAGUUCGGCAUUGGCAGCACAGAUGACAGAAGAUGCAACAGCUCGUCAAAACUGCAGUCUGACCAGCCGUACUUAGCCUUCAGGAUGAGUAGCUCAAGCACAAAACGGAGCAGUGUCCAAUGUGUUGGACAGCCCUUCUCAACACCAUACACAGUCUCCUUGGAUGCUGUUUUCACCCACUCUAGAUUUUUCUAGACCCUUCUUCUGUUGUAGUAUUUCUGGCCCAAUGGCCCGAAGCAUUUCCUCUAAGUUGUCAAAGUUUUCUGCAUCCUCCUCACAUGCUCCAACAUCAUUAUUGUCAACACCGCCAACAUCCCCAUCAUUAUUGACGACACCACCGGCAUCAUCACCACGUGAUUGUUCAUUUGCUGAAUCAUGUUGCAUUUGUGCUUCAAACAUGUCUGCGUAUUGGGACAACAAUUGGCCUUCUUCAGCAUCAUCUUCUUGGUCAUCAUCGUUGCCAUCAAGAAACAUUACUUCACCAUGAUGAAGCCAUACUGUGUAGUUCGGGACAAAUCCUCGCCUAAUCAGAUGUGAUCUGAUGAUUUCCACAUCAUAAGUUGCUAAGUGGUUCUUGCAAUCUUUACAGGGACAAAUAACUGAACAAAUAUUUCCUGCUGACAACGUCUUUACAUGAUUCACCACGAUUGUAAUAAAUUUGUCCACCUCAUCAGCAUAGGCUUGUGAGUACCUUGGCAAACCAUACAUCCAAGUAGCUCUAUUCUCCAUCUUUACAUAAAUAAAAAAAUUAAUUAGUUGAGAAUAAUUAUUAGCAACAAUUAAUAAGUAACAAUUAUUGUCUACCAUUAUUAGCAACAAUUAGUAGCUAUCAUUAUUAGCAAUAAUUGUGUUAGAAAUGAUAAUUCGACAUAAUUAAUAGUACCAAUUAUUAUCUACCAUUAUUAGCAACAAUUAAUAAGUAACAAUUAUUAUCUACAAUUAUUAGCAACUAUUAUUAGCUAUCAUUAUUAGUAAUAAUUGUGUUAGAAACGAUUAUUAGUCAUAAUUAAUAAUACCAAUUAUUAUCUACCAUUAUUAGCAACAAUUAAUAAGUAACAAUUAUUAUCUACCAUUAUUAGCAACAAUUAUUAGCUAUCAUUAUUAGUAAUAAUUGUGUUAGAAAUGAUUAUUAGACAAAAUUAAUAUUACCAAUUAUUAUCUACCAUUAUUAGAAAUAAUUAAUAUUAACAACAACUAAUAGUUUACCAAUAACUAUUCAUGCCAACCACAUUCCAAAUUCAUGAAACAAAAACAAAAAAAGGAAACCCUAGAUCUAGAAUGCCUUCUCUCCAUACAUGAAACUACAAUUAAUCUCCAAUAAAAUCAAGCUAUAUCACCUAAUUGAUGGUGCAAGGUGGUGUCUCUACCUAUUCUACACUAAUAGCAUCGUAGAUAAGCUCUAAUUUGGUCAACACAAAGCUCAAGCUCCAUGGAAGAGAGAGAAAACCAAAAUGUAAAUUGCUCACUAACCAACCAACAAAACAUGGAUUAGAGGGUGGGAAUAGCAUUUUCUUACCUUAAAGAAGUUCCCCACCAAAGGAUUUAAGUUCAAAACCUCCCCCCCUUCCUAGAGUGAUUUUAGGGAGGUGCCCAAGGCCUCCCAAACCUUUUUUUGCGAGUCGAAGUGAGUGGCUCGGGGAGGAAGAACAGUAGGCUGGCCACUUAUGGUACAGACCACUCCCCUACAGUGCCUCCCCCACUGUAAGGGCGGCUGGUAACACCAACCACCCCUACAGAGAACACUGCAAGGGCGGCUCACUCCCUGGUUGGCUGCCCACCCACUGUAAGGGCGGUUUAAAUGUUAGCCGCCCCUACAGUGUGGGGGGGCGCUCUCUUAGCAAGUUUUUCACGUAGUGUCAUGCGAGAGCAGAAACGAAGGAACGACGUGAGGUGGGACGAACAGACCUCAUAAUAGAUGAGUCCUUGCAUGGUGAUUUGCUUGAUGACCACACGUAGCAGCGUGGCCCAUUAGUCUACCACCUCUGCAAAAAAGAAGGAAAACUAUCCAAAUUAUUUUAUAGAUUUUUAUUAAUUUUUGAAAAAUGUAAAAUUAUAAUAAAACUAUCCAAAUUAUAAGAGUUUAAAAUCAAAAGCGACCACUUAGGCAGUCAAGCCAUCAUAUUUGAAACCAUAUAAUUCAACGAAAUCAUGAAGGAUUUUAAACAACCAUCGAUAAGCCAAGAUCGUACAUGAUCAACACAAACACAUCACNNNNNNNNNNNNNNNNNNNNNNNNNNNNNNNNNNNNNNNNNNNNNNNNNNNNNNNNNNNNNNNNNNNNNNNNNNNNNNNNNNNNNNNNNNNNNNNNNNNNAAAAAGAAAAAAAAAAAAAAAAAAAAAAAAAAAAAAAAGAGGAAAAAACCCUCAGACGGCAGUCAGCCGAAACCUAGACUCGCGGGGUUUGGUGGGUUAUCACCGGUACAGGAAAGGGCUUUAGCCCCGGGCUGUAAGGGCCUUUAGUCCCGGCUACGGAACCGGGGCUAAAGUUUCGGGACUAAAUGUCCCACCUUUAGUCCCGGUUCCGCGGACCGGGACUAAAGGUCCACCAUUAGUCUCGGUUGGUAACAGAAACCGGGACUAAAAGGUGCGCCAGGGUGUGCCACCUGACCUCCACUUUUAGUCCUGGUUGUUGCUACCAACCGGGACUAAAGACUUUUUCUUUGUUCCUUUUCUUUUCAUUUGGUUUUCUAUUUAGGGUUUACAAUUAUGUUAUUAUUAUUUUUGAAUGCGUAUUGUUUGCUAGUAGUUUAUGAAGGCGCACCUAUAAUUUAUAUAAUUUAAAGCAUUACAUAUAAAUAUACUAUAAAACACUAUAUAUAUAUAUAUAUAUGUAUUAUAUGUAUCUAUAGGUCCAUAAUAUAAUAUUUACACAUAUGCUUCACGGACAAAGUAUGUACAACACAAUUUAUCUCCGCCACUCAAGCAUCGUACAAAUGAUCAUCGUUAUUUGGUUUCAUUGGCUCCUGAGAGUUGAAGUAGCACUCGCCGCCGGGAUUCAGGACAUGGUCGUUAAGAAAUCCUGCGAUUGUCUCCUGAAUUCCUUUUAGGCGCACCGCAUCCAACACGUGCUCCUUCAACCACAUAUCCUUUAAUAGACAUUAAAGAAAAAAGUUAGAGGUAUGAAUAGGAUUAUUAAAUAGCAACAAAUAAAUGAAAUAAACUUAUCAUAUAUACAUGUUACAUACUUUUAGGUGCUCAAGAUUAGUUCUUUUAGCAUAGACCGUCAUAAACUCGCACACAUUGUACCCACACAAAUUGUUGCCCGGUGUCUGCCGUAGAACCCACUGAAGUAAGAUGGGCUUUGAAAGAGCUGCAUUCAACUCUGGACGGUGUUUCUGCACGAACCCAGCCCAAACCCUAGCAAUAAAACGAUCAUUAUUAAUUAUCUAUUACCGAGUUAAAAGAGCAGAACUUAAUAUAUAGAGAUCGGAGUUAGCCUUGGAUAAUAUUUAUCAUUUCUUGGUAAUCGUCCUAUGGUUUUCUCAAUGAGUCAUAGAUUACCAAUUGACAUUGCCAAAGAUCAAUGACAAUUAGUAUCAAAUGAAAACUGCAUUUUGUGCAUGUAGGCAAAAUUAGUAUAUAUCUUCAUACUGAUAUGAUUAAUUAGUUAAAUAGAAUGUACACAUGAUAACGAGACUUACUUAAAGUUGUAGGGAAAGAGUAUAUAUCUUUUAUCUUUUUGGUUGAUCAAGAACCUCCGUAGAUUUCUCUCCGUUUGAGUUCUCCAUAAGACAUAUGGGGUCUUCUGGUCUUUGAAUACAACAUUUGGAUCCACAAAUCCAAUCUCCUUGUCAUUUCUAACUCUAAGGUCCCUCAUCAUGUUUCUGCAUAUGUAUAGUGGGUUUCUGUAAUUAGUUAUAUAUAUACAUGAUAAGUUACAGUGACAUUAUUGAAAGAAAGAAUCACUUACACACAGAAGCAACUCAUUAGAGAUUUGUCAAGAGUGUCCAUGUGGCAUAGUUGGUGUCGCUCAUUAAAUUGAAUAUAAAUAAUAUCAUCACCACAGAAGUAAUGAUAGUUUCUAAUUCGGACACAAUGUUAGUCAUCUGCUUUUCUGACACACGCUGUCAAGUACCAUUUGUUUAGCAUGUACAUUUGCGUUCUAAGUUUCCUGAGGGCCGUAGGGUUGUAUAGACUCUUGCCAUAUGUAUAUUCAUUUUGCCAAUGAUCAAAUUCUAGAGCACUUUUAAUUGGUGCCCCAGCUAUCAUUUGGGAUAAGCAAAGACCAGUUUCCGCAAAAAAAAAUUCGAGCUCAUCAAAUUUUAAAUCUGCCGAUAUCUGCUGGUCUAGCACGUCAAUGUUUGAACCAUAUUCAUUUCCAAUUACUAGCGGGGCACUGAUUGCUUUGGUUGUUCCCCAAGGUGUGCUACACCCUUGCGUGCUCUUUUCUCUUUCUUCUUCUCUUCUUCUAUGGAUUUCCUUAAAGUGCGAUCAUAGUCCGAUAAAGAUGAUGAUUCUUUCUUCUCUUUGUCGUAGAUCUUCUGGCCAUAGUAAGAGGUAUGGUUUCUCAUUUCGCUUGGCUUCUCUUUCAGUCUUAAGUUUCUUGAAGAAACUAUCCACAUCUGAUUUUACCAAAGCAUCUUGUUCUGCAUCAGUCUUCUCAUAGGAUAACUUCUUAGGAAUGAUAGCUUGUUUCUUUUCGGAGGCUUUCUUUUUUGGCGGCGAGGUGGCCGACACGUUUGAUUGUGUGGCCGGCCUCUUCUUUCAUGCUGGAGCCACGUGUGGAGGCGAUGGGGUGGCCGGUGGUGGUGUUGGAGCCCGAGGAGGCGGCGUUGGAGCCCUAGGUGGCGUUGGAGCCAUAGGUGGCGGUGUUGGAGCCUGAGGUGGUGGUGUUGGAGCCCGAGGUGACGGUGUUGGAGCCUGAGGUGGCGGUGUUGGAGCCCGAGGUGGCGGUGUUGGAGCCCUAGGUGGUGGCGUUGGAGCCUGAGGUGGUGGCGUUGGAGACCAAGGCGAUGCAGCCGUGUCUUGCACUCCCUCAUCAUUACCCGCAGCACUAUGACAUGUUGGUGACCACCUGUGAAACCAAAAGGUAUAUGAGUAAACCGCUAACUAAGAGAAUGCAAAAUAAAGUUAGUGAACAAAUGUAUAGUCAAUUUUCAUCUGCACCUAGGAUUAGAUUCAUGAUGAGGAGGUGGUGGUAGUCUACUAGGUGAUGCCCCAGGAAUAAUGAUGUAGCGCUUGCGCCAACAAAUAAAAGUCUUUUCUGCUUCUCCUAGAGUCUUCCCUCCAUCACCUCCUUCUAUCUAAAGCUGCACAUUACUGAAGCCUUUGACAACUCUAUCCACCGAGACACUAGCAUAUCCAGGUGGAACUAUCGCCCCAUGGAUUCUUGGUGUCUUCGUAGGGUCGACAGGAGUUAAACACCGACCGCAACCAUGACUGUGGCAGUCCUCUGUGGAUAUGCAGCUCACAUGUUGUUAGAGGUUUAGUGAUGUCAUCCACUGGAAAGUGCAGCCCCACGUCGUCUUGAAUAGUUGGCAUCUAUGUGGAAGCGCAACUGCUUUUCAACUGACCGGAGGGGCUAAUGUUGACUCCAGGCUCUGAUGCAGUUUGCCUUUGUAUAGGACUUACUGCCAUCUGCACUGGUCUUCUGAUCUCCUCGUUCAUUCUCUCUUCAACCGCUUUCUCUCGCGCUAUCGCUUCAUGAUCCACUUCGCGUGACUCCAUCACCAUUGCCAGCAACCUACGCAACCGCUCUACUUCCUUUUCCUUCUUUCUUUGGCGGCUUCUAUAAGUCGGUCUAUCUUUAGGGAAGCCCACCGUGUUCAGCAGUCUCCAGGGCAUAUGUCAGCUCAUCCUUUUCUCUAUUUGGCUGCCAGGUGCCACUUUCAAAUAAUCCUCUAGCAUAGGCCAUUCUCUAUCCUACUCUCUCGAGCUUUUCGCCGUACACUAUCUUUCCGAUCUCUAGGUCUAUGGUUCCCCCAUGACCGAAGAACCAAUACUUGGCAUGCUCAGGCCAAUACAUUGAUUCUGGUUAUAUCCCCCUCCCAAGAAUGUCCUGUUCCAGCUUUUGCCACUUAGGAAUAGCAGUCCAAUAGCCACCUAAACCCAAGUGAUGGUGGUAUUGCUUUUGUUUAGCAUUUUCCUAAUUCUUGAUCAUCCGUGCCUCACCCUCUUCUAAGUUCUUAAACUCUACGAACUCAUCCCAAAAAGGCCUAAACUGGACAUAGGCCUUGUUGGUGAAACCCGGUGUCCGGCCAUGUGCAACAAAAGUCUUGUAUAAUGUCUUCUUCCAAGCUUGAAAUUGUUUGGCCAUCAUCUGCAUAGCCUAGAUUUUAACCUUCUCCUUCAAAGCUUCAUAUUGUGUAUCGAGCAUGAAAUGUUGAAGGACAUCUAGCCAAAUAAAUUCCUUGUCACGAUCUGAGACAAAACUAAUACUAGGGUUAUCUUUCCGUUGCCUCCAUUCAUGAGCACUGACCGGGAGCCUGUCCCUUACAAGGUACCCACAGUGCGUAACAAAUUUUUUAGAAUUGGCCCCAAGCACUUGUCUUGUACCCUCAUCAAAUUCUGACAGAAUAUACCGACCCUCCAACAGCUUCUUCGUGCCGCGCACUUUUCUACUCUUCUCAGAAGUUGUCGCCGAUUUAGAGAUCUACACAAACAAUUAUAAAUAUAUUAAUACAAAUGCCAUUUAUUUUAGUUUCAUAUAUACAUAUAUAUUAGAUUAUAGAUAGACCUUAUCAGGAUUGUCUCCCAUAAGUUCUUCAUAAUCAACAAAGUACUGACUCCCAUCAUCUUCGCCUUGGGGAUCUGGAUUGGCGUCGCUGUUGAUUAGGUCCAUCAUUGCAUCAUCCAUGUUGUCAUUCGGAUUGGCCAUUUCUGCUCAUUUAAUCAAGUGUUAAAAGUUUUUGACACGAUCAACAUAAAUUAUUUGGAUAGGCUAAACUUAGACAAUAUUUGGAUAUAAUAUUUGUCCAUAAAUUUUGUCCACACAUUAUCUAAUGAAUAUUUUAAUACAUAUAAAUAUUUAUCAAUAAGUAAAUCUAGAUGUGUAACUUUUUUAUAAAUAUCUAAUUUGCGAGAUGUGCCACUGCAGGAUGUAGUUAAUAUUUAUCAAUGUGUAAAUCUAGAUGUGCCACUGCAGCAUGUAAUUAAUUUACGAGAUAAAUUUGCGAGACAAAUUAUUUGCAAGUAAACAAGGCCCUCCAUAUGUAUGUUUACUACGCAUGUAAUUAAUUUGCGAGAUAAAUAUGAUAAACGAAACACUUCCAUACAUCUAUGUAUACAUGCCUUAGCUAAAAAUUAGAUAAAACUAGCUAAGAGUAUUAAAUAUAGAGAAAAAAUAACUAAUUACACAGUUCAUAGGGAAACCGCGAGACAAACCUUUUAAGCUUAAUUAGUUUAUGUUAGCCAUAAUUACUAUAAUAACACAGAUAUGCUAAUAACGGAUUAGUUAGAUAUAAUAAAUUUGUCUCACAGUUUUUAGAGAAAUUAUAUAAUUAAUUUUUUAAUUAAUAUCCAAACUGCUCUUUCGAUAUUUCAUAAUUUAUUUUAUACAACAAAUAAAGACUUGUUUAGUUUCGAAAAUAUUCGAUACAACAACUAAGGGCUAACAUAAACUAAUUAAGCUUCUAUAUACAGGAUACAUAUAUAACAAUAAACUAAUUACAACUAAGGGCUAACAUAAACUAAUUACAACACAGGAAAAAUUAUAUCAUAUAAAUUAUAUAAUAUAAAAGAUAAAUUAUAAAAUAGAAAUUAUACAUCUCAUCUCAAUAUCUAUCACUACUAACUAAUUACGACACAGGAUAAAUUAUAUCAUAUAAAUUAUAUAAUACAAAAGAUAAAUUAUAAAACAAAAAUUAUACAUCUCGUCUCAAUAUCUAUCCCUACUAACUAAUUACAACAUAGGAUAAAUUAUAUCAUAUAAAUUAUAUAAUACAAAAGAUAAUUUAUAAAAUAGAAAUUAUACAUCUCAUCUCAAUAUCUAUCCUUACUAACUAAUUACAACACAAGAUAGUUUCUCAUAACAAUUUCUCAUCCAAAUCUAAACAUAUAUAGUUUCUCAUAACAAUUUGCUCAACAUAUAUAGUUUCAAAAAAAACAUCACAAUGCAAAAGUGCCGGCCAAGAGAUCAUCUUGGUACGGUGGCGGCCGAGGGAGAAGAAGCUCUCGGCGGCGCGGCCGGAGAAGAAGGUCUCGGUGGUGUACGGAGAAGAAGGCGCUCGGCGCCGGAGAAAGAGGCGGUGGGGGAACUCCUCGGCUCGGUGGCGGCGGCGCUCCUCGGCUCGGACGGGGACGAGGGCGAGGCGACGGCGGGGAGGAGCGUCGCGCGGCGGAGGAAGUUAGGGCAACGUCGAUCUGAGGAAGAAGACUGUGCGCUUAAAUAUACGCGGGGACCUUUAGUUCCGGUGCGUAUCACCAACCGGGACAUGUUGGUGAUACGCACCGAGACUAAAGGUCAACCCUUUAAUCCUGGUUCCUGGCUGGAACCGGGACUAAAGGCAACCUUUAGUCCCGGUUCCAUCCACCAACCGGGACUAAAUGUAUUUUUGGUGUUUUUUAUUUAUUUAUGCUUACAAUAAUUAGAUUAAUUUUGUUAAUUGCAUAGUAAAUAGAAUAGUAGGUAUUAAUUUAUUAAAAAAUAAUAGUUCCAUUUCUUUUUGUCUAAUUGCUUACAUAAUAAAUUUGGAAACAUAAAAUCUUUUCAUCUCUUAUAUUGGCAAACUGAAAUAUGAAAAAUAAUGAGUAUUUUGUUAAUGCAAAAAUGUAUUAUUUAAUUUUAAUAUCUUAAAGUAGGUGUUUUUUAUAGAAAAUUUAUUUGUGCAUUAUUUAAACGUAAAUUUUGUUUACCAUUACAUCGGAUUAUUUUUUAAAGAUUUUUCUCUAUUUCUUAUUUAUUUAUGCUUACAACAAUAUUCACCAUUACAUCGGAUUAUCUCUAACAACUUUGUAUUCAAAUUUUUUUCAUUUCAUGUCAUCAAAUGGGUCAUUUGACCAAGUUUGACCAAAGUCAAAGCAUUGAUUUUUAGAAACACACACUUUGACCGAACCCUAUAUGGUCCCAAAUAGAAAAGUAACGAAUACAAAGUUUUUUGCACUCAUCAAGUUCUACAUUUGGUCUAAUGGUCAACUUUUCUUUUGGAAAAGUUUGAACCACUCAAUUUUGAAUUUUGAAAUAAUUCAUAGCCACGCAUCGGUUUUCGGAACCCUAGGUGGUCUCGAAUGGAAAAGUCAUGAAUACCAAUAGUGUUCCACUCAUCAAAAUCUACAUUUAAUAUAUAGACCAUUUUUGCAUUUGAUAAAGUGUUGGGAAGUUGUAGUUGAAAAUCCACAAUUGACACAAAUAGUUUCAUAUAGUUUUUGUGAGAUUCAAGAUUUGGUGGGUAUUGUGAACUUAAACUUUCUCAAAUGGAAAAAUUGUGUAUAUAAAAAGUUUAGAUAUUGAUGAUAUCUAACAACUUGGUAUUCAAAAUUUUUUCAUUUUAAGAAAUUUAGUUUGUCACUUGACCAAGUUUGACAAAAACCCGUCUUGAAUUUUGAACAAAUGUGCUUAGGAUUGGCUCAAAUUUAUACAAAUGGAAAAAUGGACAAUAUAUCAAAUGUAGAUCUUAAUGAUCUAUACCAACUUUGUAUUCAAUUUUUUUUCAUUUCAAAUCAUCAAAUGGGUCAUUUGACCAAGUUUGACCAAUGUCAAAGCAUUGGUUUUUAGAAACACACACUUUGACCGAACCCUAUAUGGUCCCAAAUGGAAAAGUAAUGAAUACAAAGUUUGUUGCACUCGUCAAGUUCUACAUUUGGUCUAAUGGUCAACUUUUCUUUUGGAAAAGUUUGAACCACUCAAUUUUGAAUUUUGAAAGAAUUCAAAGCCACGCAUCAGUUUUAGGAACCCUAGAUGGUCUCGAAUGGAAAAGUCAUGAAUACCAAUAUUGUUCCACUCAUCAAAAUCUACAUUUAAUAUAUAGACCAUUUUUGCAUUUGACAAAGUGUUGGGAAGGUGUAGUUGAAAAUCCACAAUUGACACAUAUAGUUUCAUAUAGUUUGUGUGAGAUUCAUGAUUUGGUGGGUAUUGUGAACUAAACUUUCUCAAAUGGAAAAAUUGUCUAUAUAAAAAGUUUAGAUCUUGAUGAUAUCUAACAACUUGGUAUUAAAAAUUUUUUCAUUUUAAGUAAUUUAGUUUGUCAUUUGACCUAGUUUGACCAAGUUUGACUAUUUUUGCAUUUGACAAAGUGUUGGGAAGGUGUAGUUGAAAAUCCACAAUUGACACAUCUCUUAUAUUAGCAAACUUAAAUGUCAUUUCACACAAGUCAUUUCAUUGUUUGAAAUGAUAUAAAAUAAUAAAAACUAAUAUAAAUAUCUUAAGAUACAAUUGUCACAUACACAUACUCUAAUGCAAUCUAUUUAUUAGGCGGGUACAAGAGUGAUCUUCUUUUUGACCUAUGUUCCUUGGUCAUAAUCUUGACGUAACCAUGGAGUGUCCUCAGCAUUUAUCAGUAUGCUCGGAUCUUUGGUCACAUUGAAAGGCGUGAUUCGAUCAUCCCUUUCAUAAUCUUCUGAAAUAUCUGACUUGUCCUCAAUUCCCACAAUGUUUCUUUUCCCUGAGAGAACUAUAUGGCAUUUUGGCUCAUUUGUUUUGUUGUCAUUUUUCCCUCUCUUCCGUUUGGUAGACAUAUCUUUCACAUUAACUGGUUUAACCCCAGGAAGCAAAGGUAUAUGAUGAUCAAAGACUCUUUCAGGGGGCAAGGAGUCCGGUUCGCGAAAAAUAGCAGACUGACUGUCAAUGAACUGUUGAACCUAAGCAGGAACAUCCGUUGGAGCAGGCUCUGUCAGAACAGGACACAAAUGAACCACUUGAGCCAGGCCACCUUUGCGGAUAAGGCACUUCAGCUUCCUGACUUUGAUCUUAUGACAAGAGGUAGGAGAAUCCUUCAUUCCUUUCAAAGCAAUGCGUUGGCCAUUGUGAGAGAACCGUAAGAGUUUGUGCUUCCAAUGAAUCCACAUAGGACUGUGGCGUUCUAGCCAAUCCAUGCCAAGCACCAAGUCAUAACAGGACUCUUGCAUUGUGAGUGAAAGUGUGACCCUAUGCCCACCAUUGAAAAUCAGUGACCUGUUGAGAACUAGAGAUUUUCUGACCAUUUGCAACAGUAACUGAAACUAGAGCAGUAUCUGACACCGCACAGUUCAGGCCUUGAAUAAUCUUAUCACUGAUGAAUGUACAGGAGCUACCCGAAUCAAUCAAAAUCAGAAUCUCCUUAUUGCCCACCAAGCCGUGAAGCUUUAAAGUCUUCUUACCAUGACCUUCUGCAGCAGCCCACUGAGAUAAUUGAAAGACCUCAUCAGUCUCGCUAUUAGUAGACUAAUCAGUGUCAGCAUCAGUAGAAGCUACAGUUCCAAUGACAUCCAGUACGUCCUGCAACACUUGGAGAGAAACUUUCUCAGGACACUUGUGUUGUUUGUUCCACUUUUCACCACACUUCAUGCAUAAGCCCAUUGCACGAUGCUAACUGCAAAGACUGGACAACUUUUCAUCCCACUUGGGUUUGGUGUCUGAAGAGGUAUGGGGACCCAAAACACCAGGUUGACCCAAGCCAUUGGUCUUGCCAGCUUGUUUCUGAAAGUUCCUGGAGGACUUGCUGAAAAAUGGCGCUGCCUGAUUCGCCAGAAUAUUAGCCUGCAUGAGAGCCAAAGAUAGAGCCGCAUCAACUGUUCUUGGCUUAUGUAACCUUAUAGCAGCACUGAUUUUAGGUUUUAAGCCUUGUAAGAAUUUACUAACAAAAAACACAUCAUCCAAAGACUUGUUAUGCACUAAAACCUUAUGCAUGAUGCCCUGAAACCUAUCAAAGUACUCCUGCACCUCCCCAGUCUGUUUGAUCUAAAGGAGUUCAUUCAUAGCAUUAUGAUAUAAGUCUCAACCAAACUUUAAUUCUACAGCAAAGCAAAGCUCAGCCCAACUAAUAUCCCCAUCCGAAUGUCGAGCUUCAUGAGUCUGAAGCCAUGAUUCAGCACUACCAUGAAAAUGGAUAGUGGCGAAUUGAGCCCACAAAUGUGGAGGAACAUGAUACAUAUUGAAAUACUUUUCACAUUUUUCACGCCAGGACUUAGGAUUAGCCCCAUCAAACUUAGGGAAUACAGCUUUCGUUAAACAAACUUCACGCUGAAAGUGGGGAUGCGUAUGAGCAUGGUAAUUGAGAGAGGGAUCUAGCAUGGGAAUAGGAUGAGUAAGGGAUCCCGAGUACUGACCUUUGGCCAGGGGUGGCAGAAGGACCAGAGUCCCCAUAUCCAACCCCUGUGUAGUCGAUUCGACACCGAGGCCCUUGGCCCGUCCCUCUUCCUCGCGCGGCGGGACCAGAGAUGGAGCGGAUUUGGGUUGCGCUUCCAACAUCUCAAUGCGCGACGUGAGUUGUUUGACGUCCUUACUGAGGUCGGAGGCAAACGAAUCCACCUCCGGACGCCAAUGGUUGAAGGCCUCCAUGAGGCCCAGCAUGGACUUCAUCUGUGCCGCCAGGCCAUCGAGCUUGUCCUCCGUGGUAGCCAUGCGAGUUGUUAGGGUUGGAUGUUUGGACUUCGGAGCCAGCGGGCGGAUGCGUGAGUACGGAAGCGGUGGUGGGAGCGGUGGGGCAGCGGUGGUGGGAGCGGAGGGGCAGAGGCGGUGGGGUAUUGACGCUUGUCGGACCAACCGGAGAGGAACUCAACUCAGAUCGAGCCAGGGAACCUCCACGGUAUUUUACGAAUCUAGAUCGAGUGAUAGGUGGGGGAAAGGCUUUGAUACCAGAUGUGGCGAUCCUAGCCGGUACAGAGAGGGAUGGCCGGCGUACACGCACGGUGAGGGAGCACGGCGGCGCGCCGUCUCAAGCAGGAACACUGGAGGAAGAAGAUAGGAUUGGAUUGUUUGUUAUUUCUCACUGUCCACCCAACCUCCCACACAGCGAGUUUAAAGGUUCAGAUACAUGGGCCAUGGCCCAGACGCUCCCAGAGGCAAAGCCAACAUAGGGCCCGACAUUACAUGACACAAUAGUUCAAAGAGACAUAUACUGGGUUAUAACACCAGCUUUGGAGAUGGCGUGGUUGGAUCGUGACCAACGCAGAGCAGUCUUGGGGUAGCCAUGGCCUGCUCAAGAGCACCGCACACGCUCAGCAUGCAGCAGCAGCAAGUAGCUCGAGGUGGAUGGCCAUGGCGGGUGCGUGGUGCUCUGUGGUUGUGUAUGCGAGUGGCGGAGAGGCAAGAGAGGGCGAGAAGGGAGUGGAGGGGAUGUGGAGGCGAGCGAAUGAGAGAGUAGUGAGCCCUUCUGGCUGUCCCAAACGUGAUAUAGAGCAGUAGCAGAGGUGCAGCAAUGGCGGCCACGCAGGCAUUUCAUCGAACACGUGGCGCGCGUCGGAGUAGGCAAGGUGGGAGGCGAUUUUGGGCUUGUUUCGGGAUGAAUUUAGAGAUGGGCCAAAAACGAAGUUUGCUCAUCCCGCUGUGCACUACAACUUUGAUUGAAGAAACUUGGCCAGUAGGUCAACGGAUUAAGAGAUAAUUAGAUGCCAAUUCACGAGUGGCAACAUAUAUUGGAGAUUAGCAAAACCAAGAAUUGAUGAUCGAAACAAUGUCAAACUUGAUGCAACUUUUUACAUGACCUUCUCCAAAUAAUUAUCCACAAAUUUUAUUCUUGGACCAAUUUGAGUUGCUUAACAAAAACACUAGAACGCGGCAUGCCAACGGGUCGACGUCCGUUUAGCGAGAAAAUAACCUUUUGCUGUUUUGGGAGCUAUUUUUACAUAUCCAAAUGAACUCCAAGUUUGAUGACACUUGAUCCAUUGGUUUCAUCAAGAAGAGUGCUCCAAUCAUAUUGAGGAAUCUAAUUGAGUUACCAUAUGAAUUUGGAUAAUAAAACGUCAUGAAGGAGCUAACUCACUGUUGUACUUCCAAGGACUUAGAAUUAUUUCUCAGGGCUAAAAACCAGCAGCUGAUUUGAAUUUUGAGCCACUGUUUGAACUAUUUGCAAGCUGUUUUGGUUCUUGACUCUUGAAUAAAGUACAACUUUUAUUUAGGGUCAAACCUCAUAACUGCAACAGAAUUCAGACUUUCACUUUGGUCAAAGCAGUACCUAAUAAAGCUCCAGAUAGGGUUUUAGGCGAAUUGAAGCAUUUUCUUGACAUAAGCUUGUUGGGUAUUUUAAACGCAAACAGAAAAAUCCGCAAGCGCACGGAUACCGAUGUAGCCUUCACCCGAGAGUAUUCCAGAGUAUCGAUUUUCCACAGAGAACGUGAGUGUACUAAUUAAGAUCCAAGAUCGCCCAAGGAUAACUAUAUAAUAGUUUUUAUGGUGGGAAGAGAGGAAGUUUCCUGAGAGUUCUCUAGUUGAUCUAAGAAUCAAGAAUUACUUCAAGAUUAUCUAUUUUGGGACAUCAGAACACUAACCACAAAAAGAGAUGAGAAGGGGGCUAGGAAGCUCCGACUACGGUCCUACAAACACCGAUCCGAAUGAGGUGGAAUACGUCGACCGUUAGGCCUGUCACUACCCUAAGGCUACCACAACAAUCCGCAGGAUUGGGUGCAAUUCCAGGUAAUUGCAAGACUAAACACCACGUCUAAUCUAUUAAUUACUACUCUAGCAUUAUAAAGACUAGAGCACUUGAUGCAAGCGGGAAUCCAAUAAAUAACUUGAAUGCAAAUAAAAGUAAUUAGAGAACUCAGGAUUAUGAAUUGAAGAACCUGGAGUACGAUGAAGAACGAACCAGAUGCUGCAAAAGUAUAAUGUUGAGGAAGAUCCGACAGAUCCGGCUCCUCCUCCGCUCUCCUCUUCUCUCUCCCUAUUUUCUAGAUUACAACUAGAACUAACUAGAACUAGAACUAGAAGAACUAGAACUAGAACUAGAUGAACUAGAACUAGAUCUAGAUGAACUAGAGGUAGAACUAGAAGAACUACAGGGAUCCUCUCUACGUGGAUGAAGAAUUGAAACCCUAACUUUGAUUCUGUAGAAGAGGUAUGAUCUCCACGGGCCAGGCGGUCUGGUUUUAUAGUCCCUUCAAGUGAAUAUGGGCCAUUGGAUCAAACCGACAUUAAUCGCACAGUUUUCCUUAAUCCUUUAGGUCGGUGGAGUGUUGUCCCCGAAUUGGACUCUGUUUGGUGGAAAAAGGUGGGUGGGCGCCCUCAGGACUAGGGCGGGCGCCCUGUCCGUGAGGCUUCUCGGCUUCCGCUUUGUUCUCGUGGCUUCUGGAGUCUUCUAGAUGAUAGAAAAUUGCGCGGCACGUUAAUAUCUCUAUGUAAACCCGACGUGUGGGCCUUUCUUCCUUAUUUCCUGAUAACCCCCUGCAGAAAUAGACAAACACCAAAACUCGUGGAAUUCUGUUAGAUAAAACCCUAAGUCCAGGUGUUGGUUGCAUUUGGAUCCUUUUCUAUGAUUAGUUGACGGUUAAAUGUGAGCAUUAAGGACUAUCAACAAGCUCCCCCAAGCUUAACCUUUGCUCGUCCCUGAGCAAAGAUGAACUCAAGAGUUUCUGUAGUGGUUUUAUGCCUUAAAGAUACACAUGCGUUCAAAUAAGAUCUCAUCUCUGGGUUAGGGCAAACUGUUAAGAUUUAAGCUUACCCAUUGUACCUUCCACCAUGGGGCUUGCAACCGUCACUUGUGUCUUGAGCAGUUAAAAGAUAGAACGGUCUAGUCAAGCGUCAUGUCUCUUGUUCUUCGAUUAACUAUAGCUCUGGAGUUUUUGCAGAUUUUCAAAUAAAACUCAGAGAUUUCUUGUAUGACUCUCUCAAGCGUCAUGUCUCUUGUUCUCUCUAGUCUCUCUUUUGUGGUAUCCUCAUCAAGACAGUAAUGGUGUAUGCCUUCUCUCAAAGUAUGUGGUAUUUUUGGUAUGAGGCAUAGUGACAUUGCCUUCUCUCUCACCCUACACUAAUAAGGCUUUUGAUAUCCGGAGCUCAUAGGUGGGAGGCAGCUAAUACAUACUUACAAGACAUUUAUUGCAUAGUCAAACCAUGGAUCCAGAAGAACAAGUCAAUAAGUCAAAUCAAGAUGUGCAUGUGUGGCGAAUGAAUGGUGUAUGGUGAUGAUGAUGAUAACAAUGGUGAAAGUAUAAUUCUACUUUUGCUCUUUUGAGGGGAUAUGUACCUUUCUUGCUCUUUUGAAACUUUUUGAGGAGAAUGAGAUGCUCUAUAUUUUCUUUUUCUUUUCUUUCAGAUGGGUAUCUUGUACCCCUAAUUCUACUAUCGGACACUUGUCUAUUUUUACCUCUCGUCUCACUUUUUUUUCUUUCGAGGUUCCGGGCACUUGCCCCUUUUUAUUUCCUCGUAUUCUUCCUUUUUUUUCUUUCUCUUUUUUUAGAGAACUCAUCUCAUGAGAUAAUGUAGCAAGUGGUAGUAACAAGAUAACUUGAGCAUUUAUUUCACAGGGGAAAAAUAGAAAUAUUUUUGGCUAUUCUCUCCCAGAUUAGGAGUAGAAUAUUUUUGGGUGGUUCUGGAGAUGGAAAUGGAUUGAUAUAUGUGAUGCGUACUUCCAGAGUAGAAGCAGCAUGUAUGAGUGAACGUGUAAGUGAAUCUUGAUUUAACCACAUGACAAGCUCCUAAGGGUCUACACAGCUUGACCACACUCAAUGCUCAUAAGCAGUAAAAAGUAAAUGUGUGGCUCAAAGUCUAGCAAGCAUGUAUAUAUGGCUGUGGUAGGAAUUUAAACUCUCAUCAUACAGGAACUCAUCAUGUGAUAUUUUAAAGAUUUUCAAAGAUAAAAUUCUCCAGAAUUCUAGCAUCUCUAGGAACACAUAAACAGCAGCUCAACCUUCCCAUAUCAUAUCCGUUAACGACUUAGACUUUAGAUCAAGUACUCUUCCUACAAGUUUAGGUUUAGAGCAAAUCUUAAUUAAUAACAGUCAUGCCUAAACUUGAGAGAGAUUUCAAUUUUGAGAACUAGUCAUGGUAGAGCAACUAUUCAUCAUUUCCAUUUGAGAGCUUAUCAUGAGGGUUCAUAGCAAAUUUUAUUUAUUUAUUUAUUUAGCAAACUAAGCAAAGACAUAUAUAAGCACAGAAUAUUUAUUUUGGUUUUUAUGAUUAUGCAUCUUUUAUUAUUUGAGUAAAAUAUAAACGUGAGUAGAACACUUAGCUGGGUAAAUGGGGGUGCUCUCCCCCAAGCUGGAUUUUGACACAAUUUCUUCUAAUGUAGCUAGCAGGUGGCGGAGGUGUAUUUGAAUGUCGGCAGCACUCUUUCAGCGAUUAGGAUGUCCUCCGUCUGCUAGUCUUCUUUGAUCCUUGAAUUCUGUGGAGCUCAAAUAGACAACAAAGCUUUGUGGAACUAGUUAAGUGUUAGCAUAAAUACCUAGCCUUUAUCAUGUUGAGCCUCCUCAAUAAAUGUUACACUCUUUAGUAGGAUCAUAAAUUUAUUUUUAUAAUUUUAUUUUUAUAGGAUAGGAAUAUAUUUAUUUCAUUUUUACACCACCACAGUGAAUGUACUUAUGGGUUUUAUGCCAUGAGCAUACUCACAUGGGGCUUACUAUUUUCAACAUUUUUAUUUUCUUUUCAAGAUGAUAUGAACCUGAUUAACUAACCAAACUAUUUUAAAUAAUUGAAAGGGAAAAGAUAACUACCAAGUUUACCUUUUGGCAAGGCGUUCGGUGUUUUUACGUCCUCCGAACGGGACUCUCCAUUUUCUCAUUCGUCCUGGGUUUCGCUGGAUGGCGUAGUCGGUGGUUCCGGCGGCGCCUCCUCUUCAUGUGUAACUAUCUUCUCUCUCCACACCUGACUCGGUGCUACGGUCUCCUCAGGACAGUUCUGUUCAAGUUGUAUGUCUUCAGACCUUACAACUUCUCCUUCAUAGUCUACCCAUCCGUCCAUGAUGAUUUUGCCUUCUCUGGUUACGGUUGCGUCGUCUUCUUCUUGUCCUGACCUGCUUAGAGUCUUCAACUAUAUAAUUAAGGUCAGUAAAAUAGCGGCGUACCUUGUUCGAGGGGAAGUGCAUGUGGACUUCUCUGGUUCCAAUCUAGAUGAUUGCUUUAACAGUGCUGAUGAACGGUCUUCCAAGGAUGAUGGGUGGAUCGUGUUCGUCUUCUCCCAUGUCAAUAACCUUUAAAUCAUCUGGAGCUGAAUGUAUGUUGGUUUUAAGGGCAUGAUUCCGAACAGGAGCUGAUAGGUGAUUGGGUCGUCCUUUUUGGUUAGGAACGGUGACUUAAGUCGACGGUCUUAACCUCCUUGAACUGCAGUAACCAUCUUAGCUGACUCGGUCUACAUUUGCCUAUUCCUGUUCCUCCUGUUGGUCCUCUUCCUUGGUUCAUGUCGAGAUUGCUCUGAGAUUUGUGUAGUCUUGUUCUUGAAGGAAAAUGUCUCCUUCCUCCCCUUGAUGUAGAAACUGAUCUUGGCAGCACUAGCGUAAAUGACAGCUCCUGAGGUGUUCAGGAAUGGCCUCCUUGGACGCAGAAGUUCUUCAAUAUUCUCUUUGGGAAACUUAGUGUCUGAUCUGCAAGCCUGGGCAUAAUGUUGACGUUGGAGCCAAAGUCUCAGAGUGCUUCGAGGAAGUUCACCAUGCCGAUGGAGAUCGGGAUGACGGGGCG